CCGAUCCACCUCCAGGAAGUAUGGAGGAACUCGUGAAUUUAUUCAAGGGAGCUCGUUGCCAUUUUGAGCUAUGGAAGAUAUCAACAUGUCAUGAAGGCACACAAGAGGCCUGGGCCAUGGUGAAAACGCGGUACACCAGACUUGAUCCGAACCAUAUGGCCCGGGUCGGACCUCAGGGACCAGAUGGACAUGAGAUUCCUGUUAGCUAAGUGUACGACCAAGUAAAGAUAGCUGCUAAGUUUUCUAAACAGGAUUGUAAACUAGACAACAUGUUAGAUGGUCUAGAGGAGGAAGAAGUUUUUGAGUCAAAGUAGUAAUGUACUUUUAUCAACAAACUUAUCUCCAGCUGAACUGUAAAAUGAUUGUCAUGGCAGACUUUCUGCUUCGACCUCCGAAACCCGAGGUUUGGAGUGUUUCCGGAUAUUAUACCGUCAGUAAACACCAAAGUAUGUUCAGAAACCAGGCAGUCCAGUCAUAGUUGCUUGAACAGACAAGUUGUAUUCGGGGAGUUAUGUUAUAUUACAUUUGAUCGUAAGAAACAUCUUCCAGAGAGAAUAGUUUCGUUAAGGGUUCCUUUCCCUGGGAUAGCAUGCGUUUUUGUGCAUGUCAUAGCUGUAAUGCUAAGAAUCACAGUACAUGCUAUAAUUUGGGGGCUUAUAUUGCUGCGAGGGCAGUUCGUCUUUUGUCUGCCGACCAAUUAUUCUGUUAAGAACGCUAGCUUUUGGCUUCACUCGUCUGUGGUACACAUUCGGAAAACCCGGCUGUAACAAUCGCAGAGGUGCUCCCUUUAUGCCCUAGCCGAACAAGCGGGAGCGUAGGGCAUAAGCACAGGAGCCAGGCAACCCAGCUUGGCAAAAACUUAAGUCAUAAAGGUGCAUAUAAUGGCAAAGACAAGACACAUAUGAAUAGACAACACAUAUAUAUGGUGAGAUUGAUGCUCGAAUAAUAAUAAUGAUAAUAAGCUUCUGUGAAAAGAAGCCCCCAGGUAUUAUGGGGAUGUACAUUUAAUGAUGUUUACCCUGCAAGUGUGCGGUUUAUCCGAACACUGGCUAGAAGUUGUAUAAAAACGAAAACAAAAAGGUGAGAGGGAGAAAGAAAGGACGAACAAAAAAAGGUAUAAGUGCGAACUUAGGCGUAGAAUAUUCAGAGCCGGGCAACGUUCCAUGGGUUUGGUUCUAGACGAUUAUCCGAAGCGUUGCGAAGGCGAUAGGCUCCUCUAGUGAGAACUUCAUCUAUAAUGAAGGGACCCUCCCAUUUGGGCUUGAGCUUGUCUUUUUUCUUCUUUGUAGGCGUAGAACGAGUUUACCGACAUUAUAAGUCUUUUCCCGUACUUCCCUGCUUUGAUAUCGCCGAGCUUGUUGUUGGUAGAAUGCGGAACGGGCCUUCGCAACAUCAUGCUCUUCCUCCAAGCCAUCCAGAUCAUCCUGUUGAUCGAGCUCGGCCUCUCUCUCCUCGUACAUGCGCACUCGAGGUGAGUCAUGAAUAAUUUCGCAAGGCAAAACUGCCUCCCUGCCGUACACCAUGAAAAAGGUGUAUAUUCGAUCGUGCGAUUGGGCGUGGUCCGCAACCCCCAGAGUACAGAAUCGAGUUCUUCAACCCAGUGCUUGUAUGAUUCUUGCAGAGAUCACACUAAUCUGGGUUUGAUGCCGCUCAUUAUCAGACCAUUAGCCCAUUCGACCUGACCGUUUGUCUGAGAGUGAUACACGGAGGCGUAAUCGAGCUUGAUGCCCAAAUUAGUGCACCGGCUUUUCACCUCAUCGGCUAUAAAGUUAGAACCGCUGUCAGUAAUUGAAAGUGCAACUAUCCCUGGGUGGUUUUGGUAAUGAUUAACAACAUAUAGCUCAUUGAACUAAUGUAAUUUCAAGAUAAAUAUUUCAGGAAAGUUCAAUGAUUGGCAUGGCAUGGAUAAGGAAUGUGGACCCCUCAAUAUGCUAAGGACAAAAGAUUGGCUCAAGCUCCAAAGUCCAAGACUCUACAUUUUCUAUUUUAGUGAUCCAAGAUCACAUUGAGUCUAUAGGAAAGCCAAUACUAUUAAAAGGGGAUAAGGUGUUGCUUAAUGGCUUGCUUGCUCAAAAUGCUUAGUGAUAUGUGCUACGUCUUGAGCUUGCGUUGGUUUUCCUUGAAGAGGAAAGGGUGAUGCAGCAAUAGUAACGUAAGUAUUUCCCUCAGUUUUUGAGAGCCAAGGUAUCAAUCCAGUAGGAGGCUCCUCAAAAGUCCCACGCACCUACACAAACAAACAAGAACUCGCAACCAAUGCAAUUAAGGGGUUGUCAAUCCCUUCACGACCACUUGCGGAAGUGAGAUCUGAUAGAGAUAAUAUGAUAAGGUAAAUAUAUUUUUGGUAUUUUAUAAUAUAGAUUGGAAAAGUAAAUAUGCAAAUAAAACUAGAUUGAAAGCUUAUAUGAUAAGAGAUAGACCCGGGGGCCAUAGGUUUCACUAGUGGCUUCUCUCAAGAUAGCAUAAGUAUUACGGUGGGUGAACAAAUUACUGUCGAGCAAUUGAUAGAAAAGCGAAUAAUUAUGAGAUUAUCUAGGCAUGAUCAUGUAUAUAGGCAUCACGCCCGUGACAAGUAGACCGACUCCUGCCUGCAUCUACUACUAUUACUCCACACAUCGAUCGCUAUCCAGCAUGCAUCUAGAGUAUUAAGUUCAUAAAGAACAGAGUAAUGCAUUAAGAAAGAUGACAUGAUGUAGAGGGAUAAACUCAUGCAAUAUGAUAUAAACCCCAUCUUUUUAUCCUCGAUGGCAACAAUACAAUACGUGCCUUGCUGCCCCUGUUGUCACUAGGAAAGGACACCGCAAGAUUGAACCCAAAGCUAAGCACUUCUCCCAUUGCAAGAAAGCCCAUAAACAUUCAAAAUGGGUAAUAUAAUAGCAUGGAACAAUCAAAAAUUAUAGAUACGUUGGAGACGUAUCAAGCAUCCCAAGCUUAAUUCCUGCUCGUCCUCGAGUAGGUAAAUGAUAAAAAUAGAAUUUUUCAUGUGGAAUGCUACCUAGCAUAAUUCUCAAUGUAAUUUUCUUUAUUGUGGCAUGAAUGUUCAGAUCCAAAUGAUUCAAAAUAAAAUUUCAUAUUGACAUAAGAAAUAGUAAUACUUCAAGCAUACUAAUCUACAUGGCUAAAGAAAGUUUAUCCCUACAGAAUCAUAUAGUUAGGUCAUGCUUCAUUUUCGACACACAAAAAUGCUCCCAUCUUGCACACACCCGAUGACAAGCCAAGCAAUUGUUUCGUACAUAAAUAAUCUCAAACCUUUUCAACUUUCACGCAAUACAUGAGCAUGAGCCAUGGAUAUAGCACUAUGGGUGGAAUAGAAUAUGAUGAUGGGGAUUGUGUGGAGAAGACAAAAAAGGAGAAAGUCUCACAUUGACGAGGAUAAUCAACAGGCUAUGGAGAUGCCCAUCAAUUGAUGUCAACAUGAGGAGUAGGGAUUGCCAUGCAACGGAUGCACUAGAGCUAUAAAUGUAUGAAAGCUCAACAAAAGAAACUAGUGGGUGUGCAUCCAACUUGCUUGCUCAUGAAGACCUAGGGCAUUUUGAGGAAGCCCAUCAUAGGAAUAUACAAACCAAGUUAUAUAAUGAAAAAUUCCCACUAGUAUAUGAAAGUGAUAACAUGUGAGACUCUCUAUAUGAAGAACAUGGUGCUACUUUGAAGCACAAGUGUGGAAAAGGAUAGUAACAUUGCCCCCUUUUUUUGUGGGGGGGGCUUUUUUUUAUUUGGCCUUUCCUUUUUUUGGCCUUUUUUAUUUGGGGACAAUGCUCUAAUAAUGAUGAUCAUCACACUUCUAUUUGUUUACAACUCAUGAAUUACAACCCAAAACUAGAACAAGAUAUGACUCUAUAUGAAUGCCUCCAGCGGUGUACCGGGAUGGGCAAUGAAUCAAGAGUGACAUGUAUGAAAAAUUAUGCAUGGUGGCUUUGCCACAAAUACGAUGUCAACCACAUGAUCAUGCAAGGCAAUAUGCCAAAGAUGAUGCGUGUCAUAAUGAUAAACGGAACGGUGGAAAGUUGCAUGGCAAUAUAUCUCGGAAUGGCUAUGGAAAUGCCAUAAUAGGUAGGUAUUGGGGCUGUUUUGAGGAAGAUAUAAGGAGGUUUAUGUGUGAUAGAGCGUAUCGUAUCACGGGGUUUGGAUGCACCGACGAAGUUUGCACCAACUCUCAAGGUGACAAAGGGCAAUGCACGGUACCGAAGAGGCUAGCAAUGAUGGAAGGGUGAGAGUGCGUAUAAUCCAUGGACUCAACAUUAGUCAAAAAAGAACUCAUAUACUUAUUGAAAAAAUCUACAAGUCAUCAAAAACCAAGCACUACGCGCAUGCUCCUAGGGGGAUAGAUUGGUAGGAAAAGACCAUCGCUUGUGCCCGACCGCCACUCAUAAGGAUGCACAAUCUAAGAACACCUCAUGUUUCAAAUUUGUUACACAACUUUCACCAUACGUGCAUGCUAUGGGACUUGCUAACUUCAACACAAGCAUUCUUUAAAUUCAUAAUCACCCAACUAUCAUGACUCUAAUAUCACUACCUCCAUAUCUCAAAACAAUUAUCAAGUAUCAAAUUGAUCAUAGCAUCCAAUUCACUUCCUAUGAUAGUUUUUAUUAUACCCAACUUGGAUGCCCAUCAUUCUAGGACCAAUUUUAUAACCAUAGCAAAUACCAUGCUGUUCCAAGAGACUCUCAAAAUAAUAUAAGUGAAGCAUGAGAGACUAAAAAUUUCUUCAAAAUUAAGCCACCGCCGUGCUCUAAAAGAUAUAAGUGAAGCACUAGAGCAAAAACUAUCUAGCUCAAAAGAUAUAAGUGAAGCACAUAGAGCAUUCUAAUAAAUUUUAAUCAAGUGGGUUUCUCCCAAAAGGUGUGUACAGCAAGGAUGAUUGUGUUAAACUAAAAAGCAAAGACUAAUAUCAUACAAGACGCUCCAAGCAAAACACAUAUCAUGUGGCGAAUAAAAAUAUAGCUCCAAGUAAAGUUACCGAUAAAUGAAGACGAAAGAGGGGAUGCCUUCCGGGGCAUCCCCAAGCUUAGGCUUUUGGGUAUUCUUGAAUAUCUUGGGGUGCCAUGGGCAUCCACAAGCUUAGGCUCUUGCCACUCCUUAUUCCAUAGUCCAUCAAAUCUUUACCCAAAACUUGAAAACUUCACAACACAAAACUCAACAGGAAAUCUCAUAAGCUUCGUUAGUGCAAGAAAGUAAAACCACCACAUAAGGUACUAUAAUGAACUAAUUCUUUAUUUAUAUUGGUGUUAAACCUACUGUAUUACACGUUCUCUAUGGUUCAUACCUUUACAUACUAGCCAUAGAUGCAUCAAAGUAAGCAAACAACACACGAAAGGCAGAAUCUGUCAAAAACAGAACAGUCUGUAGCAAUCUGUAACUCUCGAAUACUUAUCUCUACUAUCUAAAAGAAACCUAACAUUCCGUCUCCCCUCUUACAUUUCGUCGAGCCCUCCCCGCAUGGCCGCACUCGCGAUUGGUUUUUUCACAUCCUUCCCCAUGUCGGUUUUGCAUUGAAGACUUUCCUAAAACAACCACCUUGAUUGAUUCCCCUGACCUUAAUCCCACCUCUGAUUUGGCCGCCGCCAGACUCUCGCCCAUCUCGCGAAAGGCAGGAGGAUGUAUGCUCCUCGUCCAUGACCUCUCGCCAGAGACGCCCUAACGUCACCGUAGCGCGUGACGCAGGGAUUCGCCGCUGCAGCCCGCGGCUACUUUGCCCCUGGUGUCGACGAGGGGGUCAGCGAGAGCUCAUCUCCUCCCGGGGCUGCCGCCGCCGGGCUCGCCUCGUCAGGAGGACACGAUGUCGAUGCCGCCGCCGGUGACACCUUGUUGUUCUUCCUCUCCCCUCACGCUUCAUGCUUCCCGGAUUAUUGAGGUUAUAAUCGUGAGGGACUCCUGAUUUUUGAACAUAUGUGUUUCUUGUUGUGCUGCAGGCUCUGCAGCCUGCAGGUCGUUCAGCUCGGGUGUGCUGCAGCCUGCGAGAUCCGAGGCGUGACGACAUUGGUGAUUCUGUUCACCGUGACCCAAGUUUAAGCCAGAUCUGCGACUGAGGCAUGGCGCAAGAAACCUAGGCCGCAGGAAGGCUACGGAGGUGUGUUGCCCCCGGAGACGUCUUGGCACCAUCUCCGAUGAGCCCCUUCUGAUGGAGCCUAUGUCGUUCUAUAUCUGGUGUUGGCUCUCCCUUCAAUUAGAUCCGCGGGAGGCUACUGCUGCCGCUGUCAGUGGCGCAGCGGAUUGCGGAUGGCCUACCUAGCCACCAUGCGCAUGGUCCAACCUCCCCUCCGAUGUAUGCCUCCAUACUAUCACGCCCACUACGGCAAGCAUGAUGUGUGCACGUCUUCGUUGUUGCGGCCGUCCGGCAUUCGUCCCUUCCCAGCUGUCGGCGUGGCGCAUUGGCAUAAGAGCGAUAAUGUUCAUGUCUGCUGAAACUGGGUCGUUGAAUUUCGUCAAUUAACUUGGGAAUAAGGCAAUACGGGUGUCAAGAAUGGACUUUAAAAGUAAUGGAGGCAGUACCAGUGUGUUCCUACGCCUGGCAGAUUUUGCUCCAAAGAAGAAAGGAGAAGUUCACCAAAGUUGACCUUCAGUACUAAAAGUACUAAUAAUAUUACCUGCAAGUGCAAGCAAGGAGAACCACGGGUGCUUUGGCAAAAGGAAAGCAACAUGAUGCCAAAAGCUUGUAGAAUUACCAUUGCAUCACCCAUCUUCUGAAACAUACAUGUUCUCUGUAUCUUGCACUCCAUUCUGUUCAUGGGAAUUUCUUUUGUUUAAAGCAAGAAGAUGGAGUGAUCAGAUAUCUUUGCAUAUAAAUAUUCUUUUGUCUGCAAGUGUUUUGCGCUCCUCGACUUGAUUCCCCUGGCGCUUAUAGAGGUACUUCAGUUGCAUAUUCCGAUAUGAGCUUCAUGUUGCGCAAUGCCAAAAGCUCCUUCCAUUACACCCAUCUUCCAAAGAAUUUCAAUGUCUCUACAUAUGUUCCAAAUCUUUUCCACAGUAUAUGCCCAACUGAUUUCUGUCUCCAAUUUUUAGCAAGACGAUUGAGUGAUAUAUGUUCAUAUAUGGGACUGGAUUUUGCUGAAAUAAAUUUCCUUUCUCUGCGAGUUUUGUAAAAUAUUUUUUUUCAAGUUUCACCACCCGCCCCGGGGGGGGGGGGGGUGUUCCCCCAAAAAAUCUUAGGUGUGUAAAUCUAAUAGACACAUCUAAUCAGUCUGAACUUUUGGGGUUCACUCCCAACUUUUGGGGUUUCCCCACCUUAAAAUAUUAGUUUGCUUCAAAGUAUGUUUUCGAAAAAGCUCCUUCGCGAUCACUCGCUGAAGCGGUCGAAUCAGUCUGAACGAAGCGUCCUUCGACAAAUUCCUCGUAUCAUGCUGGGGGCCCACCACAUGAUCGCUAAGAAGUGCCAAGACGUGCAAAGCCCAUCCAAUAAUCUCCAUAUAAUCUGCCCCCCCCCCAUUUUCGGGGGGGGGGGCGAGGGGGGCCCACACUAAUUACCAUAACCCUUACCCUGAUCAUAAACGUAACCUGGUCCACACCUUCCAAAUCGGGAGAUCCUGGCCUAUCGGAAAGCGAGCGUUGGCACACGCGCACGCGCAAUAUUAGUUUGUGAAAAUCUUAGGUGAAAUUUUAUAUAUAAUGAGCAAAAAAAUCUAUGAUCUCAAACAUUCCACUGGUACAACCCAUACAAAAAUUGAUUUGUUCUGUCAAUAUGGAGUGUUAAUCUUCUCCUCUAUAUAGGCUUGAAGGAUAAAAUUAUGGCAAGUUUGGUUGGUGGAGGAGGAAAAUAAGAAUGAUUUAAUAGUAAGAAAAGGAAGAUAAUGCUGCUUGAGAUGUGCAUGGGGAUUCUGAAUAUAUAUGUUUGAUAUUUUCUCCUCUUGACAGAGAUUACUCGAGGUUUGUGAAGUCCUCAUAAUAUGUGGGGUUCCAUUAUUGUAUAUUUCACCCUAAGCCCCCGUUGCAACGCACGGGCAAUUACCUAGUGGAACUCUAAAAAUCCUACCAAAAUAGGAAGUCCUGGGAAAUUUUUCUAUUUAUCUACAGCAAAAAGAAUCAACGCAAAAUCACGUUUCUGUAAAUUACUAAAAUUAUUUUCGUGCGUGCAAAGUUUCUGUUUUUCAGCAGAAUCAAAUUAACUAUCAGCAUAUGUUAUCCUAUAGGUUCUACUUGGCACAAACACUAAUUAAAACAUAAAAACACAUCUAAACAAAAGGUAGAUGAAAAAUUUACUACUAAACAUAAGCAAAAACAAAAAACACAAAUAAAAUUGGGUUGCCUCCCAACUAGCGCUAUCAUUUAACGCCCCUAGCUAGGCAUAAAAGCGAGGAUAGAUCUAAUUGGUGCCAUCUUUGGCACUCAAUUCUUCAAUAAAGCAUUUAUAAUUUUUAGGAGUUUCUUUCUUUUUAGCAAUGAUUAAGCUCCUAGGCAAGAAAUCAAGAAAUUCAUUUGAAGCAAAAGGUUCCUUUAUGAAUGAAAGACAAUUGGGGUGAACACUUAUCGAUUUGAGAUUCGCAUUUUCCUUAGAAGAUUCACCCUUAUUUUUAGGAACAUACAUUAGUUUGGCAAUUUUAGUAGGCGGAAUGGAAGUAUUUUUCACGGACGAAAAGGCAGCCCCUAAGUUGGUAAUGAUAUCCUCAAGUUUACCGAUUCUUGAAGAAUUUUGAUCUAUACUUUCGUUAACUAUAGGUUCUUUAUCCUUAAAACUUUUCAGAGUAGCUCCAAACUUAGAUCCAAAUUGGGUGAUUUGAUUGUGGAUCUUUUUAUCUAAAUUUUCAAUUAACUCAAUAGUAGCAACUUUAUUUUCUAUAAUCUCAAGCCUUUGCAUCACAUGUUCCAAAGUUAAGAUAGUUCCGUUAACCAAGAGAGAUGGUGGACAAAACAAAUCUAACAAAGCAUUAUAGGCACCAAAAGUGUGACUACCCAAGAAAUUCCCUCCGGUAAUGGCAUCAAGAAUACAUCUAUUCCAAGGAGUAAUGCCUACAUAAAAAUUGCGAAGAAGGACGGAAGUGGAUUGCUUCCUAGUAGAUCUAUUUUGAGCAUUGCAAAUUCUAUGCCAAGCAUCCUUUAAAUUUUUCUCCCUCCCUUUGUUUAAAAUUAAGAACUUCAUGAUCGGUAGUAUUAACGAUAAUAGGAGGACUAGCCAUAGCGACGAGCACACAAGAGGCAAGCGAAAGAGAGAGGAUAUUGGGAAAGAGAGGGCGAAUAAAACUACAAGGGUGAAGUGGGGGAGAGGAAAACGAGAGGCAAAUGGCAAAUAAUGUAAAUGCGAGGGAGAUGAGUUUGUGAUGGGUACUUGGUAUGUCUUGACUUCAGCGAAGACCUCCCCGGCAACAACGCCAGAAAUCCUUCUUGCUACGUCUUGAGCUUGCGUUGGUUUUCCUUGAAGAGGAAAAGGUGAUGCAGCAAUAGUAGCAUAAGUAUUUCCCUCAGUUUUUGAGGACCAAGGUAUCAAUCCAGUAGGAGGAUCCUCAAAAGUCCCACGCACCUACACAAACAAACAAGAACUCACAACCAACGCAAUAAAGGGGUUGUCAAUCCCUUCACGGCCACUUGCGAAAGUGAGACCUGAUAGAGAUAAUAUGAUAAGGUAAAUAUAUUUUUGGUAUUUUAUAAUAUAGAUUGGAAAAGUAAAGAUGCAAAUAAAAGUAGAUUGAAAGCUUAUAUGAUAAGAGAUAGACCCGGGGGCCAUAGGUUUCACUAGUGGCUUCUCUCAAGAUAGCAUAAGUAUUUACGAUGGGUGAACAAAUUACCAUCGAGCAAUUGAUAGAAAAGCGAAUAAUUAUGAGAUUAUCUAGGCAUGAUCAUGUACAUAGGCAUCACAUCCGUGACAAGUAGACCGACUCCUGCCUGCAUCUACUACUAUUACUCCACACAUCUACCGCUAUCCAGCAUGCAUCUAGAGUAUUAAGUUCAUAAAGAACAGAGUAACGCAUUAAGAAAGAUGACAUGAUGUAGAGGGAUAAACUCAUGCAAUAUGAUAUAAACCCCAUCUUUUUAUCCUCGAUGGCAACAAUACAAUACGUGCCUUGCUGCCCCUGCUGUCACUGGGAAAGGACACCGCAAGAUUGAACCCAAAGCUAGGCACUUCUCCCAUUGCAAGAAAGAUCAAUCUAGUAGGCCAAACCAAAUUGAUAAUUCGAAGAGACUUGCAAAGAUAACUUAAUCAUACAUAAAAGAAUUCAGAGGAGAUUCAAAUAUUUCUCAUAGAUAAACUUGAUCAUAAACCCACAAUUCAUUGGAUCUCCACAAACACACCACAAAAAGAGUUACAUCGAAUAGAUCUCCAAGAAGAUCAAGGAGAACUUGGUAUUGAGAUUCAAAGAGAGAGAAGAAGCCAUCUAGCUAAUAACUAUGGACCCGAAGGUCUGUGGUAAACUACUCACAACUUAUCGGAGAGGCUAUGGUGUUGAUGUAGAAGCCCUCUGUGGUCAAUUCCUCCUCCGGCAGAGCGCCGGCGAAGGCUCCAAGAUGGGAUCUCGCGGAUACAGAAGGUUACGGUGGUGGAAAUAGUUUUUCAUGGUCGCUUCUGAUUUUUUCAGGGUACAUGGGUAUAUAUAGGAGGAAGAAGUAGGUCGGUGGACGCCCGGGGGGCCCUCGAGACAGGGGGCGCGCCUAGUAGGGGGGCGCCCUCCACCCUCAUGGCCGCCUCGUUUAUUUCUUGACUUCCACUCCAAGUCCUCUAGAUCACGUUCGUUCCAAAAAUCAUGCUCCCGAAGGUUUCAUUCCAUUUGGACUCCGUUUGAUAUUCCUUUUCUUUGAAACACUGAAAUAGGCAAAAAAAACAGCAAUACGGGCUGGGCCUCGAUUAGUAGGUUAGUCCCAAAAAUAAUAUAAAUGUGUAAAGUAAAGCCCAUAAACAUCCAAAACGGGUAAUAUAAUAGCAUGGAACAAUCAAAAAUUAUAGAUAUGUUGGAGACGUAUCAAUAUGCUCCAAAAGCCCUCAACCACUUUCUCAUAUCCACAUAUGUCCCAAACAAAAAGUCAAACUCGGCCCCACCGAUUUGAUCCAUCUGGUGCCACCGAGUUCAUUUGAAAUAGCCACUGCCAGAAACCCUAGUCUUUUUGGUUACACCAAUAGGGAUCUCGGUCUCACCGAGAUGGGGUUGCAAACUCUCUGUUUCCCUUUGUAACAUUUCAGUCUAACCGAGAUGAGCGAUUGGUCCCACCGAGUCUGCAAUGCAAACUCUCUGUUUCCCUUUCGUAAUGCUUCGGUCCCACCGAGACGAGCGAAUCGGUCCCACCGAGUUUGCCUGACCAACUCUCUGUUAGCCUAUUACCAAAGUCGGUCCAACCAAUUUUGAGUAAUCAGUCCAACCAAGAUUACGUUAUGCCCUAACCCUAAUGAUAUCGGUCCCACCGAGUUGACAUGUCGGUCCCACCGAAAUUGUCUCACGAUCACAUCAUGUACUAAAUCGGUCUGACUGAGUUUUCUGAUUUGGUCCCACCGAGUUUGGUAUAUUGUGUGUAAUGGUUAGAUUUUGUGUGGAGGCUAUAUAUACCCCUCCACCCUCUCCUCAUUCAUGAGGGAAGCCAUCAGAUCAUGCCUACACUUCCACUACCCAUUUUCUGAGAGAGAGCCACCUACUCAUGUGUUGAGACCAAGAUAUUCCAAUCCAACCAUAUGAAUCUUGAUCUCUAGCCUACCCCAAGUUGCUUUCCACCUAAUCCAAUCCUAUGAGAGUGAGUUGAGUGUUGGGGAGACUAUCAUUUGAAGCACAGGAGCAAGGAACUCAUCAUCAACACACCAUAUAUUACCUUUUGGAGAGUGGUGUCUCCUAGAUUAGUUAGGUGUCACUUGGGAGCCUCCGACAAGAUUGUGGAGUUGAACAAAGGAGUUUGUAAGGGCAAGGAGAUCGCCUACUUCGUGAAGAUCUACCCUAGUGAGGCAAGUCCUUCGUGGGCGAUGGCCAUGGUCGGAUAGAAAAGGUUGCUUCUUCGUGGACCCUUCGUGGGUGGAGCCCUCCGUGGACUUGCGCAGCCAUUACCCUUCAUGGGUUGAAGUCUCUAUCAACGUGGAUGUACGAUAGCACCACCUAUCGGAACCACAAGAAAAACAUCCGUGUCUCCUAUUGUGUUUGCACUCUCCAAACCCAUCCCUCUACAUUCUUGCAAGUUGUAUGCUUUACUUUCCGCUGCUCAUAUACUCUUUGCAUGCUUGCUUGAAUUGUGUUAAGAUUGCUUGACUUGUUCUAAAUUGUUAAAAUCUGCCAAGAACUAAAAUUGGGAAAAGGUUAAGUUUUUAUUUGGUCAAGUAGUCUAAUCACCCCCCCCCUCUAGACAUACUUUCAAUCCUACAAUUGGUAUCAGAGCUUUGGUCUCCAUUUGCCUUGAUUCCAUAGCUUUUGGUGAUCAUAGCCUUGGUUUCACAACCUAGGAGAGUAUGGCUUCUAGCGAGGGAAAUUACCACCGUAGAGGUCCUUACUUUGAUGGUACUAAUUUUGCUAGUUAGAAACAUAAGAUGAAAAUGCAUAUUCUUGGACAUAACCCCUCCGUUUGGGCUAUUGUGUGUAUUGGCUUGCAAGAUGAAUUCUUCGAUGGGCGAGAACCGAACCAUGAAGCUACCGCGUAAGAGUUGAAGAUGAUGCAAUACAACGCUCAAGCUUGUGAUAUCCUCUUCAACGGUUUUUGCCCCGAAGAAUUCAACAAAAUCAGCCGCCUUGAGAAUGCAAAGGAAAUUUGGGAUACUUUGAUUGAUAUGCACAAAGAUACCAACUCCGUCAAGGAAUCCAAAUUGGAUGUGCUUCAAAGUCAACUUGACAAGUUCAAAAUGAAGGAUGGUGAAGGUGUCGCUGAAAUGUACUCUAGGCUUGCUCUCAUCACAAAUGAGAUUGCCGGCUUAGGAAGUGAAGAGAUGACCGACAAAUUCAUCAUCAAGAAGAUCCUAAGAGCCUUGGAUGGAAAAUAUGAUACCGUGUGCACAUUCAUCCAAAUGAUGCCAAAUUACAAAGAUCUCAAGCCAACGGAAGUCAUUGGAAGAAUUGUUUCUCAUGAGAUGUCACUCAAGGAUAAGGAAGAGCUUCACAACAAGUAAAUUGGUGCUUACAAAGCCUCAUGUGAUGCUCCUACAUCAUCAAGUGAGAAACAAACCUUCAAUGAGGAAUUGAGCCUAAUGGUGAAAAACUUCAACAAGUUCUACAAGAGUAGAAGCAAGGAAAGAAGUUCCAAGUCAAGGUCCUACAAUGACAAAAUAUCUUCAAGUCGUGAACGUAAUUGCUACAAUUGUGGAAGACCCGGACACUAUUCCAAUGAGUGUACCGCUCCUUAUAAAAGGAGAGAAGAUUCACCCGAAAGAAGAAGUAGAAGAGAAGAAUCACCACCAAGAGAGAGGAGGAGUAGAGAUGAUCAUUAUGAAAGAAGAACCUCCCAGAGAAGCAAGGAUUCAGGAAGGAAGGACAAAUCAUCCAAGAGCUACACAAAGCGAAGCCAUCAAGCUCAUGUUGGUGAAUGGGUAUCCAGCUCCGACUCCGACCAUCACUCCGAGAGAAGCUAUCACUCUGACUCCGAAUAUACUCAAGAUGAAGGUGUUGCCGGUCUAGCACUUGUAUCAACCAACUCCUACGACAUAUUUGACUCACCAAAUGAAGGAAUUGGAAUAUUCUUCAUGGCUAAAGGCCCAAAGGUAUCACACCCCGAGUAUGUUGAUUUCAAUAGUGAUGAAGAUGACUUGUUAGGUGACGAUGCUCUAGUGAUGGAUACUAUGAUGAAACGUCAAUUAAUCAUGCUAAUCAAGAUAAAACAAAUGACAGUGAUAAGGAGAAGAUUGAGCGUCUAACUAAAGAACUAAACACUCUUAAGUUAGCUCAUGAAACUACCUUGGAAGAUCAUCAAGAACUUUUAAAGACUCACGAAAAGUUACGCUUUGAAAAGUGCAACCUUGAGCAAGAGCAUGAGUUUUUAAAGGCAAUCAAUGAUGAUAUUCGCAAGAAAAGUUCUUCUUACAUUGCCAAGCGUUUACUCUUAUCUACUUACAUGCCACAAGUCAAGUCUAGUAACAAGAGUAAGAAAGAUUAUUCUUCUAGUAGUAACAAUAAUCAUGCCAAAUCCAAUGUUGUUGCUUCUAGUAGUUCUCUUGAUUCCACUAAUGAUUCUCUUAGCCAAGUUACACUUGAGCAAGAAAAUAGCUUAUUGAAGGGAAUUAUAGAGAAGGGUGUCUACAAGAGCCUAGCUGGAAAUAAGCAAUUUGAGGAAAUUGUACGCAAGCAAGGAAGGCACCGGAAGAAUCAAGGUGUCGGUUUUGAAUGAAAGUUCAAUGCCAAUGGUGUUGAGUGGGAAGAAGAUCAAUACCCCAAGUUGAAGUUUGUUCCCCAACAAGAGAAGUAUGAUCCUACUUCUUUUCAAGGGACACAAGCUCAAUACGAUCUUCCACCACAAGACCACAAGCAAAAAGGCAAGGACAAGCUUCAAGAGGAGAUUGAUGCAUUUGAAGAAGCUCCCAAGGCCUUGGUCAAGUGGGUUCCCAAGACUACAUCAAGUUCUACUUCAUCAAGUUCCACUACAACCCAAAAGAUUCCCAUCAAGAUGAUGUGGAUCCCAAAGAAGAAGGACUAGAGAGUUCUUGAGGGUGACUCCGCCAAUAUUCUUCACUCACACCAUUUUGGCAAGGACAAGUGCAAUCAACUUCCACAUCUUGCACUAGUUCAAGGAGUCACAAACCCUCUUGUUGGUAAGACAAGGGACAAGGUAACCUGAUGCUUUCAUGGACAUCAUCUUGUGUGUGCAUCACUCUAUGUCUAUGGAUAUACUUGUUUGUUCCUUGUGGGACUAACCUUUGUAGGUAUUGAAAGUGCAACUCACUCCAAUGGAUUGCUCCAAAUGGUCUACAACAACAUUGAGCAUCCACAUCUUCAACACCUAAAUGAAGUCAUCAUCGACAAAACCCAAGGUUAGUUCAUCCCUUAAGGGGGAUCUCACAUCUAGGGGGAGCUUUACUCUAAAGAAUUGAGCUAAAGCAACUCUAAUGGUGUGAACAUAACAAAGCUUUAUGUAAAAGUGGUAACCCCACUUGUGCUUAAACGAUGAGUAUGACCUAUGAUCAAAUGUUCUCAUUUGACCCCUAAGUCAAUAUACUCAUAUAUAGAUGACCUAGUCAUCGCCAAUUGUUUGAUAGAUGUUAGAAUCGGUUGUGCAUGCUUUGUCUCAUGUUUCAUUUGCCAUUUUAUUGUGUGAGCAUGUCAUUUGCAUAUUUUAUUCAUUCAAGGACAUCCACUUGUUAUUUUGUUUGUUUGGUUCCUUUUUCUUUUGCCAAGUGGAUGGACAAGAAUGCCUAAGAACCUUCUCUAGCUAUCUAUGCUUUUCUCGUCUCAAACUCUAUUCAUGCUACAUCACAAAGUUUGAUCAAGUCAGAUUCGAACCACUCUGUGUGAGGAGCACUCGGAGUCCCCGAUUCGUCAUAGACUUAAACUUCCAAAAACUCUUUGUGCAUUUCGGUCUGACCGAGACAUCCAUUUCGGUCACACCGAGUUCACUAAGUUGAUCUAGGUUUUCAUCUGGUGCAACCGAUUUGAACACUUUGGUCACACCGAGUUGCAACAACCGCUUGCGAUUCUGCAAUCUUGGUGCCACCGAGUUGUUCCACUCGGUCACACCGAUAGGGUCGGGAUAUAAAUACCCACGGGUGAGAUUUUGGAAAUUACUUCAAAUCCUCUCAGCCCGCGUGUGUCCUGGUCUGUCUCCUUGGGUCUCCGGAUCAUCUCCUCGCCGCCAAUGACCUCCCGCCAUUGGAAUCUGCCGCUGUCGACGGAUUCUGCUCCGCCAUCGCCGCUGUAGUGAACACUCGCCAUUCUAGGGUACGUGUUUGACCCCUUGUGCUGUCAUUUUACUCUAAUUCCUAGCACAAGGACAAUGCCAUGAUUUUUUCCACGAAUGAGAUUGAUCUAGCCACCUAAAACUUCCUUAGGUCUAGAUUGAUUCGAAAAUUUUACGGUUAGCUCUCCGCAGAACUCAUCUCGGACCGACCAAAAUGUAGAAAUUGGUCUGACCGAUUCGGCUUAGGCCAUUGCACAUGCGCUUUUCGGUCUGACCGAAAAUUGCAAAUCGGUGUGACCGAGUUCAAUGAUUCUGUGAAACCCUAGCAAUCUUGGCGCCACCGAACUGUGACUCGACCCAACCGAGUUCACUAGUUUAGGUUCCAAGUGUUGCUUCGGUAUCACCGAGUUUGUCAAUUUGGUAGCUCCGAGAUCAUUUCUAUAGAGAACUAAAACUAAGCUUUUUGACUCAAUUUGUUUUGCAAAACCUCUGUACUUUGUGAUGCUCAUCUACUCUACCUCAUCUACAACCUAUUCACAGGGUCUGCUAAUAGUUUGCCUGCAAGAUGUCUGACCAGAGUGAUAGCCACAAUAGGUCUGAACAACAAGAAUAGUUGAGUGAGGGCACUAGUCCCUCCAGCAGCUAUGAUGAGGGCAGCAGGAGUACACCUAGUAACUUGCCCAAGGCAGCUACUAGAGCAAGGAAGAAGAGAACUUCAGACUCAUAGGAUGAAGACUAUGUUGAAGCUGAGGAUGAGGCCACUUCUAAGAAGAAAGUGGUGAAGAAAGAGUUUGGCACUGCUGCAUCAACUAAGCCAUGCAUGAACAGAAAGGCACCAGCUAGGAGAGCGCCUACAUCCAAGCCAAGGAAAGUUGCCACAGGUAAAACUAUGAAGUUCACCAUUGAAUCAGAAGAAGAGGCAGCUGGUGAGGACAAGAAGAAGAAGAGGGCAAGAACAACAACAACUAAAGUACUUGGAAAGUCUACUAUGGUGAGAUCUGAUGAUGAAGAGGAAGAGGAUCCUGCUCCAGCACCUAAGGCACAAAAGCUAAUGGGAGAUGCUAUUAGGUCAAGGGCUGCUGCUAAGCCCAAAUCUGCUCCCAAAGCUGCUGAUCUAGCCACCAAGACUGCACCUAAGAGGAGUACAAGAAACAUUCCUACUGAGGAGAAGAACAAGGCCCAGUGCCUGAAGUUGAAGAUGAAGAAGCUGAAUCCCAAGUGCUAAGGAAGCUCAAACCUAAGAUUCCAGACCAUAAUGAUGCACAUCCUGUUGCAGAGGACAUGAGGAUCAGGAAGGAUGCAUGACUGAGAUAGUGGAGGAAGAAUGACCCAUAUGCUAUAAGGAGGAGAACUGUUGUGGAUUACAGGUUCCACACAAAGGAACAACAAGAUUUCUAUGAGACAAUCCUGCCUGACAAGAAGCCCAUAGUAUGUGACAUGAGAUGGGUCGACUGGAACUACAUUAGAGAAAAUGAAGAUCACUUCCCAGGUGUUUAUGACAGCUUCAAGGCCUGUGAAGUGGACAAGUUUGUUGGCCAGAAGCUCAUAAAGUGGAAUGAUGAGCUGAUCAUGCAAUUUUACUCUACUACUCAUUUUUAUCCUGAUGGCAGAAUUGUAUGGAUGUUAGAGGGUACUAGGUACCAGUCCACAGUUGAUGAGUGGGCUAUAUUGAUCAAUGCCCCAGAAGCUCAUGAAGAUGACUUGGAUGUGUAUGCCAAGAAGAAGAAAUACCACAACUCAAUGGCUAGCAUGUACAAGGAGAUUCCUGAUGCAGACCUGGAGACUCACAAGUUUCGCUCAGUGAAGCACUUACUGUCAGGCCUGCCUACUAUCAAUACCAUCUUGAGGCACACUCUUUUGCCCAAGUCUGAAGAUCACAGAAUGAUAAGAGGACACUCCAUCAACUUGCUGCAUAUAUUUGAUGUUCCUCAAAAGUUCAAAGUGAUGAGUCUUAUUAUGGAAACAAUCAAGAGGAUAGUUGCAGAUCAGAAGAGGUCUUGUGGGUAUGCUCCAUAAAUUCAGGUGCUCAUCAACUCCAAGAUGGGCACAGGCACUUAUCUGUUGGACAAAGAGCAUUUACCCCUCAGGCCAGAUUUUGAGGAUAACAUUGUUGUUAUGGAUGAGAAAGAUCCUUCCUCAGUGCAAGCACAUGAGCAGAGAGAGAAGGCAAUGGCAGAGAAAGCUGCAAAGAUGCCAAGUGCUGAAGAGGCAUCUCAGGUGUUCCUAAAGAGUAAACAAGAUCAGCUUGGAUAUCUGAUCCAAUCCACCUUGAGGAUUGAGAAGGGCUUGGCCACCCUGACUCAAAACCAGGAGAGCUUGGAGAGGAUCAUUGAGUAGAAAUUCUAUGAUCUUGAUGUCAAAGUCACUGAGAUUCAAUCAGUAGUUGAGCAACUACAUGAGGAAGUGGAGGAGAAUAAAUGCAAGUCUACUACAGAUGCUUUCACAAGAGUGCCCAGGAGUCAUAGGUCUACUACAGUGCGUGUUCCAGAUACUAGAGCUACUACAUCUGCACUAGUAGCCACAACUUCAGUGCCACCAGCUCCAGCAGUCACUCCACCAGCUCCAGCUACAUCUACAGAAGCUUUCGUCCUUGCAGUCAUAUCUACACCACCUCAUGAAGACCAAGCCUGAGAGAGACGCAUAUCACUAUGCAUAUUUUUGACUUUUUGGUAACUUGUUGCCAAAGGGGGAGAAAUAUGUAUAGAUCAUAGUCUGAGAGAGAGAGAGAGAGAGAGAGAGAGAGUUGCUUUUGUCUCUCUUUGCACUUUAUUUGCUUGAAAUUUAUUUUGUGUUUUUGCUUGAUACACUAUGCCCUUUGUGAGAUACUUGGAUAAUCAUGUGUUUGAUCAUAUGCUACUUUAAUGUGUGCUUGAAUGAUAUUAUCCUUCAUAUCCAGUUAUGAUCAUUCACUUUGCUUGGUGAUGAGUGCAUGUUUUCAAUUGUUAUCAUUUUAAGCGCUCCACCAAGAUGUAUGUGACAUGGAAGAGUGACCCAUGAUCCUAACACAUUGUGCAUUUGCCAAAUUUUAAAUAAUGCAAAAAUUUAGGGGGAGCUCUUGUUUGUUACAUACUUCUCAAAGCGAUGAUGUACUUCAAUCUUAUCAUCAUUUGUCGGAGCUUUGAUCUAUAUGUUGUCAUCAAUUACCAAAAAGGGGGGAGAUUGAAAGUGCAACUAUCCCUGGGUGGUUUUGGUAAUGAUUAACAACAUAUAGCUCAUUGAACUAAUGCCAUUUCAAGAUAAAUAUUUCAGGGUGACGGUGUCCUGGACUAGGGGGUACUCACCACGUCGUCUCCCGAUCAGUUGGAUUGGGCCGAGGACCCCCAUGGCCGUAUACUCAUGGGCCAGUUCGGACAACCCCUGCCGCAUACAAGGAAGACUCCACAAGACUUGGCGCCCAAGACAAGGACUCUCCUAAACCCUAGGCCUCCGGUGUCUUAUAUAAACCGAGGCCAGGCUAGUCAAUAGACAAUCUCAUAUUCAUUACUACAAUCUCGUGGUAGAUACGUGUACUCUGUACUACACCCAUAUGAAUACAAUCAAAAGCAGCAUGUAGGGUAUUAUCUCAUCAAGAGAGCCCGAAGCUGGGUAAAACCCUGUGUCCAUGUUACCAUCGCUCCGAGACGCCUAGCUUAGGACCCCUACUACGAGAUACGCCGGAUAUUGAACCGACAUUGGUGCUUUCAUUGAGAGCCUGCUAGGUGAUCGUCGCGGAUCAAUGGGAUGAUCAGGUGAUAUUUUUCAAAUCAAAUCUAUUUUGCACAAGUUAGUUUUUAUAAGAAUUGUCUCUGGUUUGCAAGCUUCGUCCGCAGAUUAGGUCGAGAUCAAGGUCUAAAAAAUCUGCGACCAACGACGCGCUCCUACACGGUGUUUAGCACCCUACUCCGGUCCUUUGAUCGACAGACGGGGGCAUUUAAUGGAUUGUCAAAUUGGCCCUGACGAUGCACGCAGUUCUUUAUCGCGGAGCCGAGGACAAAUCCACCACGGCCAACGAUCAUCAAGGGAGAUCCUUUCCCUUAUUCUCAUUCUUUUUCCUUAUUUAACUCAGCCUGUCGUCGCUUGUCCACUAGCAGUUUUUUAUUUUUGUUAAGGUUUGCGUAGUUCUAAGGCAAUCAUGUACUAAUUUUGCAACCGGUCUUCACUUCUUGAUGACUACCACGCCAACUAGUGCUACUACUACCAGGAUCAGGCGCUAGUACUGGUUUAGCUAGCUACGUAACACCACCACUUCACGAGGAGUACAUGGCCAAGUUUACUUUUCCCUCAAAUUGCCAUGUGCACUAAGAGGCGAUCAACAGGAAGCGUGGAUCCCUUCCUUUUACUAUGUUCUAAAGGAUUGUUGCACGUAGAUUAUUUUUUGUUGGUUUGUACUGCAUUAUUUUUUGCAGAGAUACUACGCCAUCGAGCCAACCCCGCCGCUCAGGCCAUAUUUACCAAACAUAAUCAACUUCGACUGCAUCACGCGGUCAACUCUGUGGGCCGAUGUCGUAGUCCUGCGUGCAUUGAUCAAGCUGCGGCGUCGCCUCAGCGCACGUCCCUGCAUCAACAUGUCCGCGGCCAUUCUAUCAGGACGACCCCGGUGUUCAGGCCAUAUUCUUUAAUUAUCUACUUUACUUAACUUAAUUAAGUAGAGGAUAUUUAAAAAAACAUAUAUAUUAUCAUCUGGGGCCUUGCACUAUUUUGUCUGUGCAGGCAUUUGACUUACAGCGGGCAUUACCUAGCGCAACGACGCCCAUUGGGUCCGAAGAGAGUUUGGCUCAGCGCAACCACAGGGGGAUUUGACCUCCUUUUUUCCUUUCUCCCUUUAUAUUAUUUAAUUAAGCAAGUAAUGGACUUCUACUGCGUCACGUGGUCUCUUCGGCAAGCCAACACCGUCGUCCCAAUCGACAUAAAUCGGCUCACAUGAUCAACUUGUUGGUCACGUUGCCAUAGCGACAUGUUCGGUUGCCUCAGGGACUUCAACAUCGCCGAGAAAACUCCACCUCAUCGAGUGUUCGGUGCACAUGUCAUAUUUCUUUUAUUACUCACUUUGCAUAAAUCAUUUAUUAUGCAACAUUUUUUUAUUACUAUUAUCUCUGGUUCGCACUGUUUUUUGUGCAUAGGAAAACGAUCUGGGUCGGGCAGUGUUGCCACCUCGGCGUACUGACAUACUACGUCAUCUCGGCUGGGCGGGGGGCAUCAUCAACACUUCGUUACCCCACUCCGGGGACUUCGGCGUCACUCCGUCGGCCUGCAUUGGCUGUACUGUGUCACCACUUUGGAUUGCCGAGCUCUUCGCUCCGCCACCUCGGGACCGACUUGGGGGCUGGGACCUUGUCCCGCCGUAAGCUCGGACCGCGUCAUCAAUGCCGAACACAUUAGCCAGCUAAGUCGCUUUCAUGCUCAAAGUUUUAAAAUUUUAAAUUUUGUUUGGUCCGACCAAGCAUUAUACUUUUUUUAGCAAAAAGUUGUUUGUGAGAAACUUCCUUGUCCAAACUUUGUUUGUGACACACAAAUUCAAAUACCCCGUUUACUUGGGGGCUCCCUUGCUGGAGCUUUUCCUCUUGCAUAUGAUUAUACUUGUACGGCUUCAUUCCUUGUUCGUGUAUUACGCCACAAUAUGCAUCAUAUUGACCUAAGUGAUUUGCAAGCUGGGUUGCCUCGCUCCCGUGUUUACCCCUACGUUCCCGAUUGUUCGGCUAGGGAGUAAAGGGAGAACCUCUAUGAUUGUCACGAUUGGAUCACCCGAGCCGGACCUCAGACUGGGUGAAGCCAAAAGCUGGUGCUCUUACUAUUUUCAGUAAUGGUCGGCACACAACGGAACUCAUGAGUACAAAAAAAAUCUAUUGCACAAGUCUCAUAGUGAGCAACUGAAGAAAGGUAUCACUGGGGGUACUAUUUUCUUCGAAGAUGCUUCUUACACUUCGUCGGUAAUAUAGCAUAAGUUUCCUGAGCACGCUUUGUCUGUUACAACCUUAUGGCCUGAUUGCCUGGUUAUUGGAAACACCGUCGGUAUUCUCGACAGGUGGAGUACAUAAACACUUUUCGGUCCUUGUCCGAAGAGGGAGAAGCCGACGGUCGGUUUAGACGCGUAUAAAGUUCGGGUAAACGCAAAUAUGAUAUAAGUACUUCGGUACAUAGAUUCAUUAUACAUAAAAUUAUUUUACCCAAGUCACUUGGGGGCUCUUAAAUUUAUGUGAGCUGUUUUAUAAUAAGUGUUUUUCUUCUUAGUCGUUGCAAAGUCCUUUUUCUAUCACUCUUUUUUCGACGUGAGUGUGCGGUCAAUAGCCGGGGAGCCUAAUUUCUCUCUCAAAGCCGCUAAAGUUUGCUAAACUAGCCUAAUGAGAAGUACUCCGCCUUCGGGGUAGGAGGUUGAGCCGUAGGCUGACCCGCUUGAAGUCUUGAGAUAGGAUGUGUCAUGUUAAAGCACGACAUAAGCAUCUUUUUUUCUAAGACCAAUUUUCUGAUUGGCACCGAACAAUUGAUCUAGUUCGAACGUCGAGGUUUUACUAACGUUUUUUGGUUUUCCAAUCCUAUGGCACUUUUCAAACUAUUUGUGUGUUUUCCACAUAAGUCUCGCAAUGCAACGCCAGACACCUUUAGGGAUUCGGCAAAAAUUCUCGGAUAUUGCUAUAUAUGCAUCAGUUUUGAAUUGUGUCUUUGGUUAAUAGUUGGGUUGCCCGGCUCUAGUGCUUGUCUCCUAUGUUCCGCUUUGUUCGGCUAGGUGUGCAAAGGGAGAACCACUACGAUUGUGCUUCCAGCUCGCAUGGUUAAGCACCGCAGCGGAGAAAGCCGAAAACUAACUAUCACAAUAAGUGUAAACUGGUCAGUGGUCUGAUGACUGUAUUAAAUUAUGGGCCGUUCAUAACAUUGACCGAAGUGUUUACGUCUUGACUUCGGCUGUCGCCGAACACUAACCAGGGGGCUACUUGCCGGCCUCCCAACUUUAAGCUCCUAUGACUAAGUGAAAGUUAUAAAGCUCGCAUAUCUGAUUGCCUCUUUUCCGCCAACACAACCGCCUUCGGGCACCGAGACGUCAGCUAAGGGUUGUUUUGUUAUUUCGGAAACACCCUGCGUAGCAUCUACAAGGGGAUAGAAGCUGAUGAUGGGCCACUUUCAGAUUAUAAACGGUCGCAACGGAAGUAAAAAUUUGGGUUCAUUUAGACCACAGAGAUUGGAAGCUUUCUGCGAACUAAAUCCUCAAUUUUUUCCUCCCACAUUGAUCGGAGAUGAGGUUUCAUAAUCAUGCUUAGCAUGACAACCCAAAGAAAGGAACCGAUAGAGGGACUAUUUUCUUUGGACGAUGUUUCUUAUGUUAAACAAUAAUAUAACAUGUCUCUCUGCGUACCUUUGUUUAUAAAACCGUAUGUCCGGAUUGCCUUGUUUGCCGUAAAUCUUUUGCCCUCAUAAAGGCUUUAUAAAGUAGGACAAACACUCCCCGGCUGCUGGCCGAGGAGGUUGAAGCCGAUGGUCGGUCAACAAAGUUUUGUACAAUGUAGAUCCGAGCAUUAAUGAUGUAAAGUACUUGGAUACUUAGAGUCAUUACAUAUCAUUUGUGAUUUUACUAUGGAUGUCAAUCCUUAGUUCGGCCUCCCGUGCCCGCAUUAAGGCUCGGGGGAUACUGGGCUUCGGGCUUAUUAUUUACAAUUAUUAAAAGGGCAUAUCGAUCCCCUGAUCUGGUAUUGCCACCCGACCAGUGCCUUGGGGGCUACUGCAUUGACAAUCCAAUGCAAAAAAUUUAAAAUGCAAUAUAGUUUUCGAGGAGAUUAUUAUCCUCAGGUUGGUCGGCCGCACCCAACCUGAGUCUCGAGGACUUUGCACGCCGCGUUUCUAUUCCUAAGUAUGAUGCCGAGCUUGGAAUUGAUCCUCAGGCUGAUUUUAUGAAUCAACCUGAGUCUCAGGGGCUACUAGGGUCAGCAGUGUGAUUUUUUCCUUCAGGUGCAUUCCGGAUAUUAGGCCAACACGCACCUUGAGGGCUUCUGGCUAUACAUCUCGGCAAAGAUUACAUUGCACAAUUCGGAAUUAAAUUCAUAAAAGUCAGCCCAUGGCCGAGGUGGUGCACCACCUCGGAUACAAUCCGGUGUUGGUGCUCGACUACAAUAGUCACCCCGGAAGCAGUCCGACAUAAAGCUCGGACGCUAGUGGCUGGCUCCGUAGAGGGCAUUUCCAGCAUUAAGCUCGGCUAAACUCUUUCAACUUUUUUGAACCAAGGUGAUCUAUGACACCUUGGAUAUAGUCCGUUGUUGGAGCUUGGACAUAGUCCGGCGUUGGAGCUUGGACAUAGUCCGAUGUUGGAGCUCGGAUACAUUUCAGCGUUGGAGCUCGGAAGCGGUCCGGCGUUGGUGCUCGGCUGCUAAAAGAUACCUCGAAUGCAGUCCGGCGUUGGAGCUCGGACGCAAGAGGAUGUAGCUGCUCGGGAAAGAACUUCAAACCCGAGGUAUGGCAUAAAAGUAACAAGGCAUUGAUAAAGGCCGAAAACUUAAAGGGGCUCCUCGGAUACCCGACGUGUAAACUCUUUGGAUGCACUUCGGCGAUCCUCAAGAUCAAAGAUGAGAAGAUUUGUUGAACCAGUUUUCAAGACCGACGACUGAAGAUGAAGAACAGUUUGGAAGAAUCGAGGAGCGUCUCCAACUUGAAGACCGGUUCAGGGGGCUACUGGUGGUGUCCUGGACUAGGGGGUACUCACCACGUCGUCUCCCGAUCAGUUGGAUUGGGCCGAGGACCCCCAUGGCCGUAUACUCAUGGGCCAGUUUGAACAACCCCUGCCGCAUACAAGGAAGACUCCACAAGACUUGGUGCCCAAGACAAGACUCUCCUAAACCCUAGGCCUCCGGUGUCUUAUAUAAACCGAGGCCAGGCUAGUCAAUAGACAAUCUCAUAUUCAUUACUACAAUCUCGUGGUAGAUACAUGUACUCUGUACUACACCCAUAUGAAUACAAUCAAAAGCAGCAUGUAGGGUAUUAUCUCAUCAAGAGAGCCCGAAGCUGGGUAAAACCCCGUGUCCAUGUUACCAUCGCUCCAAGAAGCCUAGCUUAGGACCCCUACUAUGAGAUACGCCGGAUAUUGAACCGACAUAGGGAAGUUCAAUGAUUGGCAUGGAAUGGAUAAGGAAUGUGGACCCCUCAAAAUGCUAAGGACAAAAGAUUGGCUCAAGCUCUAAAGUCCAAGACUCUACAUUUUCUGUUUUAGUGAUCCAAGAUCACAUUGAGUCUAUAGGAAAGCCAAUACUAUUAAAAGGGGAUGAGGUGUUGCUUAAUGGCUUGCUUGCUCAAAAUGCUUAGUGAUAUGCCCCAAAAGCCCUCAACCACUUUCUCAUAUCCACAUAUGUCCCAAACCAAAAGUCAAACUCCGCCCCACUGAUUUGAUCCAUCCGGCGCCACCGAGUUCAUUUAACGUAGCCACUGCCAGAAACCCUAGUCUUUUCGGUUUCACCGACAGGGAUCUCGGUCUCACCGAUAUGGGGUUGCAAAAUCUCUGUUUCCCUUCGUAACGUUUCGGUCUAACUGAGAUGAGCGAUCGGUCCCAACGAGUCUGCAAUGCAAACUCUCUAUUUCCCUUUCGUAACGCUUCGGUCCCACCGAGACGAGCGAAUCGGUCCCACCGAGUUUGCCUGACCAACUCUGUGUUAGCUUAUUACCAAAGUCGGUCCAACCGAGUUUGAGUAAUCGGUCCAACCAAGAUUACAUUAUGCCCUAACCCAAAUGAUAUUGGUCCCACCGAGUUGACAUGUCAGUCCCACCGAAAUUGCCUAAUGGUCACAUCAUGUACUAAAUCGGUCCGACCCAGUUUUUUGAUUCGGUCCCACCGAGUUUGGUAUAUUGUGUGUAACGGUUAGAUUUUGUGUGGAGGCUAUACAUACCCCUCCACCCUCUCCUCAUUCGCGAGGAAAGCCAUCAGAUCGUGCCUACACUUCCACUACCCAUUUUCUGAGAGAGAGCCACGUACUCAUGUGUUGAGACCAAGAUAUUCCAAUCCAACCAUAUGAAUCUUGAUCUCUAGCCUUCCCCAAGUUGCUUUCCACCAAAUCCAAUCAUAUGAGAGUGAGUUGAGUGUUGGGGAGACUAUCAUUUGAAGCACAAGAGCAAGGAGUUCAUCAUCAACACACCAUCUAUUACCUUUUGGAGAGUGGUGUCUCCUAGAUUGGUUAGGUGUCACUUGGGAGCCUCCGACAAGAUUGUGGAGUUGAACUAAGGAGUUUGUAAGGGCAAGGAGAUCGCCUACUUCAUGAAGAUCUACCCUAGUGAGGCAAGUCCUUCGUGGGCGAUGGCCAUGGUGAGAUAGAAAAGGUUGCUUCUUCGUGGACCCUUCGUGGGUGGAGCCCUCCGUGGACUCGCGCAGCUGUUACCCUUCGUGGGUUGAAGUCUCCAUCAACGUGGAUGUACGAUAGCACCACCUAUGGGAACCACGACAAAAACAUCCGUGUCACCUAUUGUGUUUGCACUCUCCAAACCCAUCCCUUUACAUUCUUGCAAGUUGCAUGCUUUACUUUUCGCUGCUCAUAUACUCUUUGCAUGCUUGCUUGAACUGUGUUAAGAUUGCUUGACUUGUUCUAAAUUGUUAAAAUCUGCCAAGAACUAAAGUUGGAAAAAGUUAAGUUUUUAUUUGGUCAAGUAGUCUAAUCACCCCCCCCCCCUCUAGACAUACUUUCGAUCCUACAGUAAUGAUACUAUGCGGGACACGAUAACGGUGUACGACGCCGGAUAUGAAGUCUAUAACCGGUCCAGCUUCAGCCGUUUUGACUGGUUUGGCUUCUAUCCACUUAGUGAACUUGUCGACCAUAACCAAUAAAUAUUUCUUCUUAUGGCUUCCCCCUUUAAGGGGUCCGACCAUGUCUAGCCCCCAAACCGCAAAAUGCCAAGUAAUGGGAAUUGUUCGUAGGGCAGUGGGCGGCAUAUGGCUUUGAUUGGCGAAAAGCUAGCAUCCAACGCAGCGCUGUACGAGGUCCUGUGCAUCUGCUCGGGCCGUGGGCCAAAAGAAACCCGUUCGGAAGGCCUUACUUACAAGGGCCCGGCCUGCGGCAUGAUGGCCACCGAGACCGGCGUGUAUUUCAGCCAAGAGCCGCCAUCCUUCUUCUUCGAUGAUGCAUCUUUGGAGUACUCCGGUGGUACUUUUCAUGUAUAGUUCCCCUUCAUGAACUUUGUAGGCCUUCGAGCGUCGAACAAUAUGAUGGGCCUCGGUCUGAUCAUGAGGGAGCUUGUUCCUCGUAAGGUAGGCGAGGAAAGGUUCAGUCCAUGGGGUAAUUACAACCAUGAUUUCAUGGGCGGAUGGUGUUAUUUCGGUUCCCAAACCCUCGAUUAUACCGGAACUGUGUUCGGAGUCUGGGGGUAUGGUCGGCUCCGGACCAGUGUUGCCACUCUCGUCCUUCCCACCAUGGAUGGCUUGAAGAGCCUCUCCACAAACGUGUUGGGUGGGACAGGGUCACGUUAAGUGCCCAUGCGAGCAAGGAUGUCCGCAGCUUGAUUACUCUCUCGAGCCAUGUGAUGAAACUCGAUCCCCUCAAACCGAGCCGAUAUUUUGAGUAUGGCGUUGCAGUAAGCUGCCAUCUUUGGAUCUUUUGCGCCGAAUUCAUCGUUUAUUUGGGAUAUUGCAUGGUUUAAAUCCCCGCGCACUUUGAGGCAUUGUAUGCCCAUGGAGACGGCCAUCCGAAGACCAUGCAAUAGGGCCUCGUACAAUAUUUGGAGCACAUAGCGAACUGUGUCUCCUGUGGAGGAUGUUAAGACGACGCCAGCCCCAAGUCCGGCUAGCAUUUUGGAUCCAUCGAAGUGCAUUACCCAAUUUGAAUAUGUGUCGUACUCUUUAGGGAGUUCGGCCUCUGUCCAUUCGGUGACGAAGUCGGCCAACACCUGAGAUUUAAUAGCUCGGCGUGGCUUGUAAGUUAUUCGAAUGGUAAGAGCUCAAUGGCCCAUUUGGCAAUCCGGUCGGUGGCGUCCCAGUUGUUUAUGAUAUCAUUGAGUGGUACUUCAGAGGCCACCGUGAUCGAGCACUCUUGAAAGUAGUGCCGCAGCUUGCGGGAUGCCAUAUUGUUUAUGAUAUCAUUGAGUGGUACUUCAGAGGCCACCGUGAUCGAGCACUCUUGAAAGUAGUGCCGCAGCUUGCGGGAUGCCAUAAAGACCGCAUAUGCUAUCUUUUGAUAGUGCGGGUAAUGGGACUUGCAUGGUGUAAGGACCAUCGAUAGGUAAUAUACUGGUUUUUCGUGUGAGAAUUUAUGUCCCUCUUCACCUCGUUCGACGACGAGCACCGCACUCACCACUUGGUGAGUUGCGGAUAUGUGGAUCUGUUGGGGAAUGUAGCAGAAAUUCAAAAUUUUCCUACGUGUCACCAAGAUCUAUCUAUGGAGAAACCAGCAACGAGGGGAAGGAGAGUGCAUCUACAUACCCUUGCAGAUCGCUAAGCGGAAACGUUCAAGAGAACGGGGUUGAAGGAGUCGUACUCGUCGUGAUCCAAAUCACCGGAGAUCCUAGUGCCGAACGGACGGCACCUCCGCGUUCAACACACGUACAGCCCGGUGACGUCUCCCAUGACUUGAUCCAGCAAGGAGGGAGAGGUUGAUGAAGACCCCAUCCAGCAGCAGCACAACGGCAUGGUGGUGAUGGAGGAGCGUGGUAAUCCAGCAGGGCUUCGCCAAGCACCGCGAGAUAUGAGGAGAAAGAGAGGUAGGGCUGCGCCAACAGGAGAAGAACUUCGUGUGUUGGGCUGCUCCUUUGCCUCCACUAUAUAUAGGGGGAGAGGGGGCUGCACCCCCACCUAGGUUUCCACCCCUAGGGGCGGCGGCCAUCCCUAGAUCCCAUCUAGGGGGGCGGCCAAGGGGUGGAGAGGGGGAAACUUGCCCCCCAAGCAAGGUGGGGCGCCCCCUCCCCAAACCCUAGGCGCCUUGGGCCCUUGAGGGGGGCGCACCAGCACACAUGGGGCUGGUCCCCUCCCACACUUGGCCCAUGCAGACCUCUGGGGCCGGUGGCCCCACUUGGUGGACCCCCGGGACCCUCCCGGUGGUCCCGGUACAUUACCGAUAAAACCCGAAACUUUUCCGGUGACCAAAACAUGACUUCCCAUAUAUAAAUCUUUACCUCCGGACCAUUGCGGAACUCCUCAUGACGUCCGGGAUCUCAUCCGAGACUCCGAACAACAUUCGGUAACCACAUACAAACUUCCUUUAUAACCCUAGCGUCAUCGAACCUUAAGUGUGUAGACCCUACGGGUUCGGGAACCAUGCAGACAUGACCGACAUGUUCUUCGGUCAAUAACCAACAGCGGGAUCUAGAUACCCAUGUUGGCUCCCACAUGUUCCACGAUGAUCUCAUCGGAUGAACCACGAUGUCAAGGACUCAAUCGAUCCCGUAUACAAUUCCCUUUUUCUAGCGGUAUAGUACUUGCCCGAGAUUCGAUCGCCGGUAUCCCGAUACCUUGUUCAAUCUCGUUACCAGCAAGUCUCUUUACUCGUUCCGUAACACAUCAUCCCGUGAUCAACCCCUUGGUCACAUUGUGCACAUUAUGAUGAUGUCCUACCGAGUGGGCCCAGAGAUACCUCUCCGUCACACGGAGUGACAAAUCCCAGUCUCAAUUCGUGCCAACCCAACAGACACUUUUGGAGAUACCUGUAGUGCACCUUUAUAGCCACCCAGUUACGUUGUGACGUUUGGUACACCCAAAGCAUUCCUACGGUAUCCGGGAGUUGCACAAUCUCAUGGUCUAAGGAAAUGAUACUUGACAUUAGAAAAGCUUUAGCAUAUGAACUACACGAUCUUUGUGCUAGGCUUAGGAUUGGGUCUUGUCCAUCACAUCAUUCUCCUAAUGAUGUGAUCCCGUUAUCAACGACAUCCAAUGUCCAUGGUCAGGAAACCGUAACCAUCUAUUGAUCAACGAGCUAGUCAACUAGAGGCUUACUAGGGACAUGGUGUUGUCUAUGUACCCACACAUGUAUCUGAGUUUCCGAUCAAUACAAUUAUAGCAUGGAUAAUAAACGAUUAUCAUGAACAAGGAAAUAUAAUAAUAACCAAUUUAUUAUUGCCUCUAGGGCAUAUUUCCAACAGUCUCCCACUUGCACUAGAGUCAAUAAUCUAGUUCACAUUGCCAUGUCAUUAAUACUCACAGGUCACAUCGCCAUGUGACCAACAUCCAAAGAGUUUACUAGUGUCACUAAACUAGUUCACAUCAUCAUGUGAUAAGACUCAAUGAGUUCUGGGGUUUGAUCAUGUUUUGCUUGUGAGAGAGGUUUUAGUCAACGAGUCUGCAACAUUCAGAUCCGUAUGUACUUCGCAAAUCUCUAGGUCAUAUUGUAAAUGCUGCUUCCAUGCUCCACUUGGAGCUAUUCCAAAUGGUUGCUCCACUAUACGUAUCCGGUUUGCUACUCAGAGUCAUUCGGAUAGGUGUUAAAGCUUGCAUCGACGUAACCCUUUACGUCGAACUCUUUCUCACCUCCAUAAUCGAGAAACAUGUCCUUAUUUACUCCAAGGACAAUUUUGAGCUCUAUCUGGUGAUCCACUCCUUGAUCACCUUUGUACCCUCUUGCCAGACAUGUGGCAAGGCACACAUCAGGUGCGGUACUUAGCAUAGCAUAUUGUAGAGCCUACAUCUAAAGCAUAGGGGACGACCUUCAUCCUUUCUCUCUCUUUUGCCGUGGUCGAGCUUUAAGUCUUAACUUCAUACCUUACAACUCAGGCAAGAACUCCUUCUUUGACUGAUCCAUCUUGAACACCUUCAAGAUCAUGUCAAGGUAUGUGCUCAUUUGAAAGUACCAUUAAGCGUUUUUGAUCUAUCCUUAUAGAUCUUGAUGCUCAAUGUUCAAGUAGCUUAAUCCAUGUUUUCUAUUGAAAAACACUUUUCAAAUAAGCCUAUAUGCUUUCCAGAAAUUCCACAUCAUUUCUGAUCAACAAUAUGUCAACCACAUAUACUAAUCAGAAAUUCUAUAGUGCUCCCACUCACUUCUUUGGAAAUACAAGUUUCUCAUAAACUUUGUUUAAACCCAAAAUCUUUGAUCAUCUUAUCAAAGCGUACAUUCCAACUCUGAGAUGCUUGCUCUAGUCCUUAGAAGGAUUGCUGGAGCUUUGCAUGCUUAUUAGCGUCUUUCUGGAUUGACAAAACCUUCUGGUUGUAUCACAUACAACCUUUCCUCAAGGAUACCGUCGAGGAAACAAUGUUUUGACAUCCUAUCUGCAAGAUUUCAUAAAUCAUGCAGUAAUUGCUAAUAUAAUUCCAACAGACUCUUAGCAUCGCUAUGAGUGAGAAAGUCUCAUCGUAGUCAACUCCUUGAACUUGUCAAAAAACAUCUUAACGACAAGUCGAGCUUUCUUAAUGGUCAUACUUACCAUCAUUGUCUGUCUUUCUUUAAAAUCCAUCUGUACACAACAGCCUUACGACCAUCAAGUAGUUCUUCCAAAGUCUACACUUUGUUUUCAUACAUGGAUCCUCUCUCAGAUUUUAUGGCCUCAAGCCAUUUGUCGGAAUCCGGGCCCACCAUCGCUUCUCCAUAGCUCGUAGGUUCAUUGUUGUCUAGCAACAUGACCUUCAAGACAGGAUCACCGUACCACUCCGAAACAGUACGCGUCCUUGUCGUCCUAUGAGGUUCGGUAGUGACUUGAUCCAAAACUUCAUGAUCACUAUCAUAAGCUUCUACAUCAAUUGGUGUAGGCGCCACAGGAACAACUUCCUGUGCCCUGCUACACACUAGUUGAAGUGACGGUUCAAUAACCUCAUCAAGUCUCCAGCAUCCUCCCACUAAAUUUUCGAGACAAAGUUUUCCUCGAGAAAGGACCUGAUUCAAGAAACAAUCCCUAUUGCUUUCGGAUCUGAAUUAGGAGGUAUACCCAACUGUUUUGGGUGUCCUAUGAAGAUGCAUUUUAUCCGCUUUGGGUUUGAGCUUAUCAACCUGAAACUUUUUCACAUAAGCGUCGCAACCCCAAACUUCUAAGAAACGACAACUUAGGUUUCUCCAAACCAUAGUUCAAACGGUGUCGUCUCAACGGAAUUACGUGAUGCCCUAUUAAAGUCUAAUGCCUAACCCAUGAACGAUAGUGGUAAUUCGAUAAGAGAUAUCAUGGUACGCACCAUAUCCAAUAGGGUGCAACUAUGAUGUUCGGACACACCAUCACACUAUGGUGUUCCAGGCGGUAUAAAUUGUGAAACAAUUUCCACAAUGUCUUAAUUGCGUGCCAAAGCUCGUAACUCAAAUACUCAUCUCUAUGAUCAUAUCAUAGACAUUUUAUCCUCUUGUCACGAUGAUCUUCAACUUCACUCUGAAAUUACUUGAACCAUUCAAUAAUUCAGACUUGUGUUUCAUCAAGUAAAUAUACUCAGUAUCUACUCAAAUCAUCCGUGAAGUAAGAACAUAACGAUAUCCACUGCGUGCCUGAGCACUCAUUGGACUGCACACAUCAAAAUGUAUUACUUCCAACAAGUUGCUUUCUUGUUCCAUCUUACUGAAAACGAGGCUUUUUCAGUCAUCUUGCCCAUGUGGUAUAAUUUGCAUAUCUCAAGUGGUUCAAAAUCAAGUGAGUCCAAACGAUCCAUCUGCAUGGAGUUUCUUCAUGCGUAUACACCAAUAGACAUGGUUUGCAUGUCUCAAACUUUUCAAAAAUGAGUGAGUCCAAAGAUCCAUCAACAUGGAGCUUCUUCAUGCGUUUUUAUGACUUACAUGGCAGUGCCACAAGUAGGUGGUACUAUCAUUACUAUCUUGUAUCUUUUGGCAUGAACAUGUGUAUCACUAUAAUCGAGAUUCAAUAAACCAUUCAUUUUAGGUGCAAUACCAUUGAAGGUAUUAUUCAAAAACCAGAGUAACCAUUAUUCUCCUUAAAUGAAUAACCGUAUUGCGAUAGACAUAAUCCAAUCAUGUCUAUGCUCAACGCAAACACCAAAUAACAAUUAUUUAGGUUUAACACCAAUCUCUAUGGUAGAGGGAGUAUACGAUGCUUGAUCAUAUCAAACUUGGAAACAGUUCCAACACAUAUCGUCAUCUCACCUUUAGCUAGUCUCCGUUUAUUCCGUAGCCUUUUAUUUCGAGUUACUAACGCUUAGCAACCGAACCGGUAUCUAAUACCUUGGUGCUACUAGGAGUACUAGUAAAGUACACAUUAACUUAAUGUAUAUCCAAUAUACUUCUAUCAACCUUGCCAGCCUUCUCAUCUACCAAGUAUCUAGGGUGAUUCUGCUUCAGUGGUUGUUCCCCUUAUUACAGAAGCACUUAGUCUCGGGUUUGGAUUCAAUCUUGGGUUUCUUCAUUAGAGCAGCAGCUGAUUUGCUGUUACAUGAAGUAUACCUUCUUGCCCUUGCCCUUCUUGAAACUAGUGGUUUCACCAACCAUCAACAAUUGAUGCUCCUUCUUGAUUUCUACUUUCGCGGUGUCAAACAUCACGAAUACCUCAAGGAUCAUCAUAUCUAUCCCUGAUAUGUUAUAGUUCAUCAUGAAGCUCUAGCAGCUUGGUGGCAAUGACUUUGGAGAAACAUCACUAUCUCAUCUGGAAGAUCAACUCCCACUCGAUUCAAGUGAUUGUUGCACUCAGACAAUCUGAGCACAAGCUCAACGAUUGAGCUUUUCUCCCUUAGUUUGCAGGCUAAGAAAAUCGUCGGAGGUCUUAUACCUCUUGACGUGGGCACGAGCCUGAAAUCCCAAUUUCAGCCCUCGAAACAUCUCAUAUGUUCUGCGACGUUUCGAAAACGUCUUUGGUGCCUCAACUCUAAACCGUUUAACUGAACUAUCACGUAGUUAUCAAAGCGUGUAUGGCCGAUGUUCAAAACAUCCACAGACGACGUUUGGGGUUCAGCUCACUGAGCGGUGCAUUAAGGACAUAAGCUUUCUACUGUCCGCAUAAUCGCUACUGUCAACUUUCAACUAUAUUUUCUCUAGGAACAUAUCUAAAACAGUAGAACUAAAGCACAAGCUUACGACAUAAUUUGCAAAAACCUUUUGACUAUGUUCAGGAUAAUUAAGUUCAUCUAAUGAACUCCCACUUAGAUAGACAUCCCUCUAGUCAUCUAAGUGAUUACAUGAUCCGAGUCAACUAGGCCGUGUUCGAUCAUCAUGUGAGACGGACUAGUCAUCAUCGGUGAACAUCUUCAUGUUGAUCGUAUCUACUAUACGACUCAUGCUCGACCUUUCGGUCUCUUGUGUUCCGAGGCCAUGUCUGUACAUGCUAGGCUCGUCAAGUCAACCUAAGUGUUUCGCGUGUGUAAAUCUGGCUUACACCCGUUGUAUGUGAACGUUAGAAUCUAUCACACCCGAUCAUCACGUGGUGCUUAGAAAUGACGAACUUUCGCAACGGUGCACAGUUAGGGGGAACACUUUCUUGAAAUUUUAAUGAGGGAUCAUCUUAUUUACUACCGUCGUUCUAAGCAAAUAAGAUGCAUAAACAUGAUAAACAUCACAUGCAAUCAAAUAGUGACAUGAUAUGGCCAAUAUCAUUUUUCUCCUUUUGAUCUGCAUCUUCGGGGCUCCAUGAUGAUCAUCGUCACCGUCAUGACACCAUGAUCUCCAUCAUCGUGUAUUCAUGAAGUUGUCUCGCCAACUAUUACUUCUACUACUAUGGCUACCGGUUAGCAAUAAAGUAAAGUAAUUACAUGGCGUUGUUUAAUGACACGCAGGUCAUACAAUAAAUUAAGACAACUCCUAUGGCUCCUGCCGGUUGUCAUACUCAUCGACAUGCAAGUCGUGAUUCCUAUUACAAGAACAUGAUCAAUCUCAUACAUCACAUAUCAUUCAUCACAUUCUUCUUGGCCAUAUCAUAUCACAUAGCAUACCCUACAAAAACAAGUUAGAUGUCCUCUAAUUGUUGUUUGCAUGUUUUACGUGGCUGCUAUGGGUUUCUAGCAAGAAUGUUUCUUACCUACGCAAAACCACAACGUGAUAUGCCAAUUGCUAUUUACCCUUCAUAAGGACCCUUUUCAUCGAAUCCGUUCUGACUAAAGUGGGAGAGACUGGCACCCGCUAGCCACCUUAUGCACCAAGUGCAUGUCAGUCGGUGGAACCUGUCUCACGUAAGUGUACGUGUAAGGUCGGUCCGGGCCGCUUCAUCCCACAAUACCGUCGAAACAAGAUUGGACUAGUAAUGGUAAGCAUAUUGAACAAAAUCAACACCCACAACUACUUUGUCUUCUACUCGUGCAAAGAAUCUACGCAAUAGACCUAGCUCUGAUACCACUGUUGGGGAACGUAGCAGAAAUUUAAAAUUUUCCUACGUGUCACCAAGAUCUUUGUAUGGAGAAACCAGCAACGAGGGGAAGGAGAGUGCAUCUACAUACCCUUGUAGAUCGCUAAGCGGAAGCGUUCAAGAGAACGGGGUUGAAGGAGUAGUACUCGUCGUGAUCCAAAUCACCGGAGAUCUUAGUGCCGAACGGACGGCACCUCCGUGUUCAACACACGUACAACCCGGUGACGUCUCCCAUGCCUUGAUCCAGCAAGGAGAGAGGGAGAGGUUGAUGAAGACCCCAUCCAGCAGCAGCACAACGGCGUGGUGGUGAUGGAGGAGCGUGGUAAUCCAGCAGGGCUUCGCCAAGCACCGCGAGAUAUGAGGAGAAAGAGAGGUAGGGAUGCGCCAACCGGAGAAGAACUUCGUGUGUUGGGCUGCUCCUUUGCCUCCACUAUAUAUAGGGGGAGAGGGGGCUGCGCCCCCACCUAGGUUUCCACCCCUAGGGGCGGCGGCCAGCCCUAGAUCCCAUAUAGGGGGGCGGCCAAGGGGUGGAGAGGGGGAAACUUGCCCCCCAAGCAAGGUGGGGCGCCCCCGCCCCAAACCCUAGGCGCCUUGGGCCCAUGUGGGGGGGCGCACCAGCCCACCUGGGGCUGGUCCCCUCCCACACUUGGCCCAUGCAGCCCUCUAGGGCCGGUGGCCCCACUUGGUGGACCCCCGGGACCCUCCCGGUGGUCCCGGUACAUUACCGAUAAAACCCGAAACUUUUCCGGUGACCAAAACAGGACUUCCCAUAUAUAAAUCUUUACCUCCGGACCAUUCUGGAACUCCUCGUGGUGUCCGGGAUCUCAUCCGGGACUCCGAACAACAUUCGGUAACCACAUACAAACUUCCUUUAUAACCCUAGCGUCAUCGAACCUUAAGUGUGUAGACCCUACGGGUUCGAGAACCAUGCAGACAUGACCGAGACGUUCUCUGGUCAAUAACCAGCAGCGGGAUCUGGAUACCCAUGUUGGCUCCCACAUGUUCCACAAUGAUCUCAUCGGAUGAACCACGAUGUCAAGGACUCAAUCGAUCCCGUAUACAAUUCCCUUUGUCUAGCGGUAUAGUACUUGCCCGAGAUUCGAUCGUCGGUAUCUCGAUACCUUGUUCAAUCUCGUUACCGGCAAGUCUCUUUACUCGUUCCAUAACACAUCAUCCCGUGAUCAACCCCUUGGUCACGUUGUGCACAUUAUGAUGAUAUCCUACCGAUUGGGCCCAGAGAUACCUCUCCGUCACACGGAGUGACAAAUCCCAGUCUCGAUUCGUGCCAACCCAACAGACACUUUCGGAGAUACCCUUAGUGCACCUUUAUAGCCACCCAGUUACAUUGUGACGUUUGGUACACCCAAAGCAUUCCUACGGUAUCCGGGAGUUGCACAAUCUCAUGGUCUAAGGAAAUGAUACUUGACAUUAGAAAAGCUUUAGCAUAUGAACUACACGAUCUUUGUGCUAGGCUUAGGAUUGGGUCUUGUCCAUCACAUCAUUCUCCUAAUGAUGUGAUCUCGUUAUCAACGACAUCCAAUGUCCAUGGUCAGGAAACCGUAACCAUCUAUUGAUCAACGAGCUAGUCAACUAGAGGCUUACUAGGGACAUGGUGUUGUCUAUGUACCCACACAUGUAUCUGAGUUUCCUAUCAAUACAAUUAUAGCAUGGAUAAUAAACGAUUAUCAUGAACAAGGAAAUAUAAUAAUAACCAAUUUAUUAUUGCCUCUAGGGCAUAUUUCCAACAAGAGCAACAUCGGUUCACCAACGUUUGGUGCAGCCAGGAUUGGGUUACUUGCUAACAAAGUUUUUAUUUCUUCCAGUCCGGUUGUGGCAGCGUCCGUCCACACGAAGUGGUGAGUGCGUCGGAGCAGGCGAUAUAAAUGCCAAUGCCUUUUCCCCUAGUCUGGAUAUGAAACGGCUCAAAGCUGCCAGACACUUAGCUAGUUUUUGGACCUGCUUGAGGUCUGUUGGUGUUGCCAACUGUAACAGGGCUCGGAUUUUGGCUGGGUUUGCUUCGAUUCCUCUAUUGGAGACGAUGAACCCAAGCAUUUUUCCGGCUGGAACGCCGAAAAUGCAUUUUUUCGGAUUGAGACGUAUGUUAUAUGCUCGGAGGUUGUCAAAUGUAAGGCAUAAGUCAUCCACCAAUGAUUCAACAUGCUUGGUUUUGAUGACUACGUCAUCUACAUAUGCCUCCACAGUUUUGACGAUUUGCUUUUCCAGGCAUGUUUGAAUCAUGCGUUGGUAGGUUGCACUGGCGUUCUUGAGCCCGAAAGGCAUAGUGUUGAAGCAAAAGGGUCCAUACGGGGUGAUGAAUGCCGUUGCGGCUUGGUCGGAUUCUUUCAUCUUGAUUUGAUGGUAUCCAGAGUAUGUGUCGAGGAAACACAGAGAAUCGUGUCCAGCGGUCGCGUCAAUAAUCUGGUCGAUGUGAGGCAGUGGGAAGGGAUCCUUAGGGCAAGCCUUAAUAAAGUCUUUGAAAUUGACAUACAGGUGCCAGGAUUUAUCCUUCUUCGGUACCAUGACCAAGUUUGCUAGCCAGUCCGGAUGUUUGAUCUCUCUGAUAAACCCGGCUUCGAGUAGCUUGGCUAGCUCCUCCCCCAUAGCCUGUCGUUUGGGUUCGGAAAAUCCGCGCAACGUUUGCUUGACUGGUUUGUAUCCUUUCAGUAUAUUGAGACUAUGCUCGGCCAGUCUUCGUGGGAUACCUGGCAUAUCCGAGGGGUGCCAGGCAAAGAUGUCCCAGUUCUCACGCAGGAAUGCACGUAAUGCAGCGUCGACUGUCAGAUCCAGCUGUGCCCCAAUGGAAGCUGUCUUCUUGGGGUUUGUCGGGUGGACUUGAAAUUUGACUAUUUCGUCUACUAGCUUGAAGGAAGUGGAUUUGGGUCUCUUAUCCAGGAUUACGUCAUCCCUAUCCACUGUGGAAUGGAGGGUGGUUAAUUGUUCGGUCACGAGGGCCUCGGAUAAAGCCUCGAAGGCUAGAGAGGCAGUUUUGUUUUCGGCGCGGAGUGCUAUGUCUGGAUCACUGGUGACAGUGAUAACUCCAUUGGGCCCGGGCAUUUUAAGCUUCAUAUACCCGUAAUGGGGUACGGCUUGGAAGCGUGUGAAUGUGUCUCACCCCAGCAGGGCGUGAUACCCACUAUUAAAAGGUGCCGCAUGUAAGAGUAACUCUUCGGACCUAUAGUUCUCUGGCUUGCCGAAUACUACAUUGAGUUUGAUUUUCCCCGAGCAUCUUGCUUCCCGCUAGGGAUAAUACCUCGAAAGGUUGUGUUACUUUGCUCAAUGCGACUCCUGUCCAUUUGCAUUUUAUUGAGCGUGUCUUCAUAGAUGAGGUUUAGUCCGUUGCCGCCGUCCAUUAGCACUUUAGUGAGCCGAAAGCCAUCCACGAUUGGGUUUAGAACCAAAGCGGCUGGUGCCUGGACUGAGUGGGAUGUUGGUUUGUCAUCAGCAUUGAAAGUGAUUGCCGUACUGUUCCAAGGAUUUACUGCUGCCACUUGGCAGACUUCGGUGAUGUCGCGGAGCGCCCUUUUGGGCCGAUUAUUUGAUGAAAAGGUCUUGAAGACUGUGAAUACUUUGAGAUCGUUGUCCUCCGAAGAGUAGUUCUCUGGGGUGUUGUUGGUGAGGAUACCCUCGCCACUCUUGGCCACUCGCCGGAGUAUCCAACAUGCUUGGAGGCUAUGCAUUGGUUCGGUUAUCGGAGUCAUGUGAAUUUGACAGGGCUUGUCAAGCCAUUCCUCGAGGACAAUUCUAUGCCCCAUAAAGGGCUUGAUUUUCUUAUCCACGGGUGAUGAUUAGGUGCUCCGCGAGGGUGCAUCCUUUUUGCCCGUCCGGGAGAUGGCCUAGAGGCAUGUGGUUCCCAGCGGGCUGUCUGGGUUUUCCACGCGCUUUCCAUUGCGCAAUACUUCUGUACUAUGUGUGCCAAAUCUGCAAAGUGCAGUACACGAUGGCGGUUGAGGGCAUUAAGGAUUCCCUCAUUUGUACAAUUGUUGCAAAAUACCGAGACCGCGUCAUCGUCGCAACAAUCUUUGAUCUUGUUUUUAACAAGGAGGAAUAUGGCCCAAAAGUGGUGGACUAUUUCCUGAGGCUGCUGUCGCACGUACAUUAAGUCGCAUAUGUUGGGAGGACCGGGAUUGCUUGGAGAAUAUUGCUUGUGGUGGGUGGGAGGGCUUGAAUCCGAACCUUGACCCAUUGUGAAGUCCAGACUCUGAAGAAUUUCCGAGGUUACAAGCCCGGGCUCCGGAGCGUCCGGUGAGUUCUUAGGCUCAACGCCCGAUUCUAUGUUCGGAGGACAAGAAGUGUCCUCCCGAGGGUGGGUGUCCGGCUCUUCAAGCUUGGAAAUCCGAACAUACCUUGUUCUCAACGUAGGAGAAGAGUUAUUGUUAGCUUGUUCCUCCACAAUUGCCACCAGAUGGGUGAUCGAUGGAGAUUUGAUUUCUCUCUGAUCGGGUUUAAGCCCAAUCUAAUCAUAGUCGGUUGCGACCCCCAGGGCGGCGAUGCGAUCUAGCAGUUCAUUUAAGGCUAAUACAUCUGCCAGAUCCAUCUUGCCAGAGUACUCAGGGCCUACGCGGAGGCGAUUUUCGGUGACAGGCUGGGCUACCUUUGGCUUAAUGGCCGAACGAGUGCCCAUGGUAUAGCUGCCAAGCUGAAGGGUUUUCCCUCAAGCUAGGGCUCCUCCAGAAGUGAUACUGUCCUUGAUGACAAGGCGAGCCAUCAACCCUUCUAUCGACGGCACAGAGGAACUCUCAAUGAAAGCACCAAUGUCGGUGUCAAAACCGGCAGAUCUCGAGUAGGGGUUCCCGAACUGUGCGUCUAAGGAUUGAAGGUAACAGGAGGCAGGGGACAUGAUGUUUACCCAGGUUCGGGCCCUCUUAAUGGAGGUAAUACCCUACUUCCUGCUUGAUUGACUUUGAUGAGUAUAGGGAUUACAAGAGUUGAUCUACCUCGAGAUCGUGAUGGCUAAACCCUAGAUGUCUAGCCUGUAUGAUUGUGAUUACCACUAUGGACUACGCCCUCCGGUUUAUAUAGGCAUCGGAGAGGACUAGGGUUGUACAAAGUCGGUUUACAGAGGAAGGAAACUAUACAUCCGGACGCCAAGCUUGUCAUCCACGCAAAGGAGAGUCCCAUCCGGACACGAGAGAAUGCCUUCUGUCUUGUAUCUUCACGGCCCAUCAGCUCGGCCCAUGUCACAUAGGCCGGCUCCCCGAGGACCCCAUAAUCCAGGACUCCGUCAAUUGCGAAAAGCCGAAUACAAUUCUUUUACAGAGGAAAGCCGAUGUGUAUUCUUUAAGGAACCCGCCUUGCAAUGCCGAAGACAAUCUGAAGCGCUGAAUAUAUCAUCAUUGAAGACUGGUUCAGGGGCUACUGUGGGAGUCCUGGAUUAGGGGUCCUCGGGCGUCCGGUCUAUUGAUGUGGGCCGGACUGAUGGGCCGUCAAGAUACAAGCAGAAGAUUAUCUCUCGUGUCCGGUGGGAACUCUCACAUGCGUGGAUGGCAAGUGUAGGUGUCCAGAUAUUUUAUUCCUUUUUGUAAAACCAACUUUGUACAACCCUAAGCCCCUCCGGUGUCUAUAUAAACCGGAGGGUUAGGUCGGAGGCAAGAUCAUAACAAUACUGCUAGGCUAGUUAUCUAGGGUUAGCCGAAUCGAUCUCGAGGUAGAUCAACUCUUGUAACCCCUAUACCCUCAAGUAUAAUCAAGCAGGAGUAGGGUUUUACCUUCAUUAAGAGGGCCCAAACCUGGGUAAAUACCGUGUCCCUUCUCCAUUGUUACCAUUGAUCUUCAGACGAACAACUUGGGCCCCCCUACCAGAGAUCUGCCGGUUUUGACACCGACAAGAGGGCGAAACGAGAAGGUGCGGCGGCCUAGCUAACGGAGAGGUUCGAGGACAUCUUGUCGAAGAAGGAGGAGGCAUGCGUGAAGCGCUCGAACCUCAAGGAGGAGAAAAAGGCGGAGAGAUUCAAAUUGUUGAUAGAGGCGACUGACAACAAGGUCAAGCUCGAAGAGAGGAGGACCAUGAUCGAAGAGAGGAAGGUCGCACUCGAGGAAAAGAAAUUGGAGACCACCGCCAAAGUGAGGAUGCCAAGAUGUUGACCUUGAAUCUGGACUCUUUGGACGCCGAUACAAAAAUGAUCGUGCAAUCCGCUCGCUACCAGAUGUUGUAGUUGUCAAUUGAUAGCAGCGGGCCAUGAGGACGAGGCGGAUGCGGACGCAGAGGCUGUCUACGCAGCGGCGACGACACCCUGAUUGGGAGCAGACGGCUGGGAUUGCCGAUCCGGUAGGGCAAAUAAUUGCAUGGACUAUCGGGCUAAUAUUUUUUUGGAUUCGGGCAUGUAAAAACUAAGCAUACUCCCUUUCUCUGUUGUUAUUAGGCAUGCAAUCCGGCGCGCCGUGUGGAUCAGUCUAAAUUUGAAUUUCAAAUUCCCUUUACUGACAGAUAUAUACGCGAUAGCAUUGUAUGGCGGCAUUUCGCAUUCGUGUCCAUGAACGGAUGCGGGAGAAAAUUUGCGGGCCGCCGUUAGAAAUGCCCUAACCAAGCGACGGAGAAAGCUCAAUGCAAGGUGACUUUCACAUGUGUUUGCUUGCUAGUACGUAUAGUACUUUGCUUUGCUCAUCCCUCCCAAAACAGAAGCAUGCAACAACAGGUAACUCUCGCGUAAAGCCAGGAACAAGUACCACUAGCACUACCACAAGCAGAAGCCAUGAGCAUACACUACUACAUGUCCUCUUUGCAUUUAUUUAUAGGAAGAUUUGCAUCCAAAGAAAUUGUCCGUGUACGUACGGUGUACCCUCAGCUUUCAAUAACGCCUGUUUGCACCAAACCAACGGUACGGCGUCCUUUCUUUUUCAUAGAUAGGAUCGUGCAUACCACAUUCGUACCGCCAGUACCAUACCGUCCUUGCCCCGAGAACAAUUGCGUGCUCACGCACACACUGUUACACUAAGCACAAGACACGCCGGAAAAAGGAAGAUAAGAUCUGUUUACCAGACAAGUGAACCAAACCAAACCAUUUCCUGACAGCUCUCUGCCGCUGUCUACCAACGCCGAUGUGGUUCGAGAGCCAGAAGAUGUGUCUGCAUGCGCAUGGCACUGUGCCGCACAACCGUAUUUCAUCUUCUUGGUCGUCGUCAUGAUGCAUGAGACAGGGCGCGCGGCCAUGGCAGGACACGUGAGCUUAACUAAAUGGCCGCCGGCCCGCCCGCGCGCUCCCUUUAUCUUUACUCCUCGCCUCGCCUCCUUUGCCCGCUUCUACGCCUCCGCUUUUCGGCCCUCUCCCUUUAUUUUAUUUUUGUUUUCGCUGCCCCGUAAUCUAUGUUGCGCGUGGACCCCAUAUCAGUAGUACGGGAGGAGGGAGGUUUAAAGCCGUUGCGUUGCUUUGGAGGAUGGAUGAUGAGGUUGACGUCGUGCUGGGUCGGGUCGCGCAUCGGGCGGCGUGUGACGCACACUGACACAAUGGAGUAUUCUUCUGUUGCUCUUUUAAUGACCGGGAUUAAGAUACUACCACCACUGCACACAAUUCUCUACUGUGGCACAGUAGAGUAGCUUCUUCAUGCAGGCAGGCACGCGGUGGGAUGAUGCAGAAGAAGCGCAGGCUUCUCAUGGAUCUUGACCUUGACCGCAUAGUUUCGCAUGGAUUUUUUUUCGAAUAUGCACGAGUGUGCAUAUUAUAUAUUAUAGAAGAAAGGUAAAGAGUGCCUCCACCAUAGUUCCAAGGUUCAUAUUACAACACUCCUAAUCCUCACUACUAGCCCACCGUUCAAGCCGAAGGAAGAAGGUGUCCAUGUCUCUCUUAAACUUGCCGGCAAUAGACCACAUUCUUCCUUCCGACCUUACUCUACCUAGUAAAACACCUAACGAAGGUGAUGCCCCACCCCAUCAAACACAAUAGCAUUGCGAUGCUUUCACAGCUCCCACAAAGUCAGCAAGAAAACCGUAUGAAGAUCCUUCUUGUGCCAGCCGUUAGUCCCAUGCUUCUCCGCAAGCCAGAUGGCUAAGGAAUCAUGUGCAGUCGGAGUCCAGUCCAGCAUGCCCAGCGCCUCACAUACUGCAGCCCACGCUGACUUGGCAAAGACGCACGUCAGUAGCACAUGAUCAAUCGUUUCGUCCUCCUGGUCGCAUAAGGGGCAUGCAUCCUGGUGUGGGAGGCCUCUCCUCGCCAGUCUGUCAGAGGUCCAACACCUGUUUCUUAAGGCAAGCCAAGCAAAAAACUUGCAGGUAGCUGGGGCGUGAGACUUCCAGGUCAGCUCUGCCAUAGGCUCAACCGUCCGUCCCCAAAAUUUUGCCGCGUAAGCCGAGCGCACCGAGAAACGGCAGUUGGUCUCCCAUGACCAACCGACCAAGUCCGGCCCAUCCGCCUGCUGCUCCCACGUGCUUACUUUGAUCCAAAGCUGUAAGUACUCCUGCAAUGCUCCCUCACCAAUAUUCGGGCCAACAUCCGAUGCCCAAGACCCAUUUUGCACAGCCUGGGCGACUGAUCUCGUCAAUCUGGUCCGCCUUGGGAUCAUACCAUAUAUUGUUGAAGCAAUCUCUUGUAUCCGCAUACCAUCUAGCCAACGAUCCUCCCAAAAAAGUGUAUGGAGACCACAGUUUGCUUCACUCCUCAUAGCCGCCUGGACAAGUAACUUAGCUUCUUUGGGGAUCUUGAUCUUGAACUCGCUCCAAGGUCUACUCGUGUCCACUCUUGUGAGCCAUGCCCACCUGGCUUGCAUGGCCACAUUCAGCCAUCCAAGGUUAGGUAUCCCUAAGCCACCAGCCCACUUCGGCGCACACACCGAAUCCCAAGCAACCGCACAGUUCCCUCCGUUAGCUUCCGCUCUUCUGCACCAUAGGAAGCCUCUACACACUUUGUUCAUUGCCGCAAUCGUCUUCUUUGGUAAGUCGAGCGCCAUCAUGGCGUGGAUGGGCAUGGCACAGAGCACAGACUUCACCAAUGUAAGCCGCCCACUCUUCGGCAUUAGAGCCGCUUUCCACUUAGGCAGACAAUUUGCCAUCUGAUCAACUAGAAACUGCAUUUGUGCCGCGGACUGCUUCCUCAAGGUCAGCGGCAGCCCAAGGUACUUAAUUGGAAAAGCCCCUCUCGGGCAUCCCAGCCGAUGACACACCGUACCUGCCUCCUGAUCAUUGCAUCUUAUCGGUAGGGCCACCGAUUUGCCCAUGUUUAUCCUCAAGCCCGAAGCCUCUCCAAACAUUUCCAGAAUGUUCUUGCAUAUGUCUAGCUCCGUGGACUUGGGCUUGAUGAACACCACCACAUCAUCAACGAAUAUAGACAAGGCGCUGCCUCAUACCUGUAUGUGCCAAGGGCUCCAACGCACCACUAGUCGUGGCCCUCUGAAACAACCUCUGCAACGGUUCCAUAGUAAGAAUGAAUAGCAUCGGCGAUAUCGGAUCCCCUUGUCGCAGCCCCUUGCAGUUAUAGAUGGUGUCGCCGGGGUCUCCAUUUACCAUGACUUUGGUGGUGGAUGUUGAAAGGAUUCCACAGAUCCAGGAUCUCCACCCAGGGCCAAACCCCAAUUCGCAUGGAUUUGAUUUGUUUGUUUGCUAUUAUUGCUAGGAUUACUUUUUCUGCUAGGUGUAUUUUACAGUCUUGAUGAAAGAAAGCCAAUAAUGCUCUUCUUAUACAAGAUUGGGAGGGAGGAAUAGACAUGAUGCCAAAAUCCAACGAGAAACGGGGCGAGACUUGGGACCCCAUUCCACUCAAUUCAAUUCAAUUUAAAGUGGACACAAAGCUAAUCUCCGGGCACCACAGCACGUACCGCCCAAAAUAAAUAGGGCGUCCAGCAAUUGGCAUAAGUGCAGCACAAGCUAAGGACGGGGGUUGCUUUCGGCCGCGGCGAUUUACAGACAACAACAACGUCGAUAAACCUCAUUCAUUCAGUUGUUUCCCACCCCAAUCUCCUGACUGUGCGCAGCUGUUUUCGAAAACAAGUCGGGAGAUCUCGUGCUCCACCCGAAAAGCGCAAGCGAACAAGGGCGACAGCGACUAAUCCGGCCAGUCUCACAUCGGCUGGAAAGCAACCCUCUCCAGCUCCAGCUCCAGUCCCGGCCAAAAUUUAAGCCCCAUCCCCAAAAGCAAGGAUAGGGAUCCAUGGCUUAAUCGCCGCCAUCGAAACCAAACCUACAUCUAAUCGAAGCAGAAAAAAAGGGCUAGCCGCGCUCUCUCGCCACCCUCGGCCUGGGCUCGGGGUCGGGGUCGGGCCACCAUUACUCCCACUCCACCUUCCCCGUUUCAAUUCACUCCAGUCCAGUCCCCACACUCCAACUAAAAGCUCGCUCUUUCCUUCUCUCUCUCUCUCUCCUCUCCGCCAUGGCCGCCUACUCUUCCUCCUCCUAGCGCGCGCCCCACCGCCAGCAGCGCGAUCCAGAUCCCACCCGGCGCCCGCCCAUGGGGGGCUGCCACGCCAAGCCGCGCACCCGCGACGCCGACGGCGCAUCCCCGCCGCCACCCGCGCCGGCCACGCCCCCGCCGGCCUCCUCCACGGCGCCCGCCACGCCGGCCUCCAAGAAGCACUGGACGUCCUCCCCCUUCUUCCCCUUCUCCACGCCCAGCCCCAGCCCGGCGCACCACCUCUUCUCCUCCUCCGCGGCCUCCCCGAGGACCUCCUCCAAGUCCCCCGCCCCGGCGGGCUCCAAGUCCCCGGCGCCCACCACCCCGGCCAGGCGCCUCCUGCGCCUGCCCUUCCCGCCGCCCUCGCCCGCCAAGCACAUCCGCCAGGCGCUCGCGCGGAGGCACGGCCCGUCGCGCCCGGCGAUCCCCGAGGAGGGCGGCGACAGCGACGGCGGGAGGGGCCUCGACAAGGGCUUCGGCUUCAACAAGGGCUUCGCCGCCAAGUACGACCUCGGGGACGAGGUCGGGAGGGGCCACUUCGGCUACACCUGCGCCGCCAGGAUCAGGAAGGGCGCGCGCAAGGGGGACGCCGUCGCCGUCAAGGUCAUCCCCAAGGCCAAGGUGAUGACCUACCUGCAACUUCUGCAAACGCUUUUUUUCUGAAAGUUGAUGCCGCGCUAGUUUAGAUUUGUGAAUUUCUGUUGGAUAAUGCGCUACUCUCAUGACUUUUGUGCUUUUGAAUGAUGCCGUAUAAAUGUCCUUCAUAUUUUGUUGAACAGAGAAAGGUAAAGCAUGUUCUCCUGAAAGCAACUACUCACUAAUCUAAUCAAAGUUUUUGAGAACUGGAUGCAUGCCUGUUCAUUUCCUAAGAAGCGUGGCCCCUUCUUGUCUACAGGAGUAUAGUGAGUAGAUGUGCCUUGUUACAGGUGUUCCCUGACAUCAUGGGCAGGGUUCAUGUACUAACAUGCUAUUGAUCCACAUCGUGCAUUGUAAAAAGAAUAUCUAAUUUUAUCACAUGCAUCGUACCUGUAUAUAAGAAUAAUAUGGAUUACGAGAUCUUCUACGUUCAGCAUUGUUGCAUGGCACGUACUAGGUAACAUAUUAACUUAUGUGCUGUAAAAUAUUAAAUAUGCCCACUUGAAUGAUGAGAUCUGAGCAGGUCCUGUCAUUUUUUGUUAUGGAGUUUACACUUGAUAUUCCGUAACUACUUUGCCUAUUGCUCUUUUAUCGCUGUGCCAUCUGGUUUAAGCUCUCCAUGGUUGCAAUCUCCGUUAUUUGGGUCACCACGUUUCAGUGCUUUACUUGAGGAUUAAUACCAUCAUUUUGUCAUAGCUAGGCAUGAACUUAGUUCCUUAGUCCUUGUAUGUACAUUUUUUUAGUAUCAUCUGAAGUUGCUCUAAUCUCUUGUCAGAUGACAACAUCCAUUGCUAUAGAGGAUGUCCGGAGGGAGGUGAAAAUUUUGAAGGCUUUAGCAGGGCACAAGAACUUGGUUCAGUUUUAUGAUGCAUAUGAGGACAACGAAAAUGUCUACAUAGUCAUGGAGUAAGUUCCAGUACCUUGAUAGUCACAAUGUGUUUUGACCUCAAUUUUACAUGCUAUGAGGAUGCUCUCCUUAAGAUGUCAAGUAGAGUAGAGUAGCUUUUUGCCCUCGUUAUCAAUACUCUCAACUACAAGCAUAGAAAACAAACUCACUGAAUAAUCAGUUCCAGUUUAUUAACCCAACUUGAAUAGUUUUCCACAGUCCCUUUUUAUUAAGAUUCUUUGAUCUACUAAUUGUUGGUGCAGCAAUAAUUACCUUUCAGAAGCAUAUAAAUGUGUUAUCUUGUGUGCUUAAAAACGUCUUUAACAACCAUAUGUUAUUUCAUCCAUAUGUCUGGACGGUUAGUUACCUUUUCAGUUCUUAGGUUAGUUCUUGUUCGUACGUUAGUUACUGGCAGUUUAAAUAAUCUGGUAGCAGUUAUCACUUGAUAAUGCAUGAUGAAAAUGAACAUACAUUAAUGUCAUUUGGGGCAGCCACACUGUUUUAAAUAUGCUUGCAGUGCAACUGGAUACUCUUUUAUUUUUCCGUCCAAUUGCCCAAACUUGACAACAAAUAUUUCGCCAAUAAAAAGGAUUUCCAGAUAUGGCCAAAUCCAGAUGAUGUCAUUACUACAGGUCGUUGAAUGUUGUCUUAUAUUAGACAUCUUUUUUUUGGCAUCUAUGUUUAGCUUCUAUACCUUCUGCUGAUGGUGAUCCCUGUACGCUAUAUUCUGGAUUUCAAAUGCCAUGCACUCUGUGUUUAGUUUUUUUUUAAUAUUUAACUAAAAAUCCCGUUGUUUAGGUUGUGUGAGGGCGGGGAGCUUCUGGAUAGAAUACUUUCCAGGUAAGCUACAAAUAAACUUACAUUAUGGUAUACAACAUUAUGGUUUAUUACGAAAUACUUUAAUAUAGCUUAUGUUUUGCAUUCAUUUUAAGUAGAGGUGGGAAGUACUCCGAGGAUGAUGCAAAGUCUGUCCUGGUCCAAAUAUUGAAUGUUGUCGCUUUUUGCCACAUCCAAGGAGUGGUUCACAGGGAUCUCAAACCAGAGGUGAAGUGCCUUUUCAGUUUUACCUGCAUCUCAUCAGUUGUCAUCAUUACCAUGUUUGAGAUAUUAGAAAGUGAUGAUUUAAACAGCGCUGGUAAACAAGCCAUGUCUUUUAAGGCAAAUGGUGAUGGUUACCUGUUUCUACUUCCAAUGUUCGAACCUCCUUUCCGAAAAAAAUUUACACUAUUUCAAGAGACGUAUAAUUUGUUCAUGGCAUUCCUUAGAUGGUUUAUUUAUUGUAUUGCCUUUGUCUUCUCCUGUGAAUAAGAUAUAAUUUUACUGUUAUUGUAUUUGACAUUGCAAUGGAUUUCUAAAAUGUUUGUGUUUUUUCUCUUCAGAAUUUUCUUUUUACUUCGAAAGAUGAGAACUCUCAACUUAAGACAAUUGACUUUGGAUUAUCAGACUUUGUAAAACCAGGUUAGUUUCUUGCUCAUCAAUCUACAUAUCUGUUGAUUUGUACUCCCUCUGUAAACUAAUAUAAGAGCAUUUAGAUCACUACUUUAGUGAUCUAAAUGCUCUUAUAUUUCUUUACGGAGGGAGUACUUGCCAUCAGUGAAGAUAAUACUACCCACUAGCACUUUUUUAAUGCAAUGUUCUAAUACCUUAUGCAGAUGAGAGACUAAAUGAUAUAGUUGGAAGUGCUUAUUAUGUUGCUCCGGAAGUUCUACAUAGAUGCUAUAGCACAGAAGCGGAUGUAUGGAGUAUAGGUGUCAUUGCAUAUAUCCUCCUUUGUGGCAGCCGCCCUUUUUGGGCACGCACUGAAUCUGGCAUAUUCCGUUCUGUUCUCAAAGCUGACCCCAGUUAUAAUGAGGCACCUUGGCCUUCUCUAACUCCAGAAGCAAUGGACUUUGUUAAGCGCUUGCUGUGCAAGGAUCCACGUAGAAGGAUGACUGCAGCACAAGCUUUAGGUGAGUUUCAAUCUGUCUGUAUGGAUCGAAUUUAAAACUUACAUUGCUAACUCCACCUUAUAUUAUGUUUUUCAGGUCAUCCAUGGAUUAGAAAUUACAAUGACAUCAAGAUGCCAUUGGACGUCCUUAUAUUCCGUCUUAUCAAAGCUUAUAUUCGUUCUUCAUCAUUACGUAAAGCUGCUCUGAAGGUCUGCAUUGAUAAAACCUGUUCUGAUUUUUCUCCUGUUAUUCCACAAAGAUAUAUGUGUUGCUUCUUCAAAUUUGGACUUGCUUCUAUACAGCAUUUUUCUACCCAGGGCUUUGAAUGGUUGUGCAGUAACCUACUCCCUCCGUCAUUGUGGGACGGAGGGAGUAGUAUUUAUCAUUACAUGCAUACAAUUUCCGUAAAUGUUUUUUCGGGAGCCUACUUUUUGUACCAUACCUUUAUAAGUUCUAGAACGAAAUGCUUGGACAGUUAUGUUUUCUUGCAAUCCUCUCCUGUUAAAAUAACUUAAAAAGGGGAUACCACUUUAUUUGAAAUUCAAAUUUGUGUUCUCAAGCUUUUCUUUUGACACCCAUGCCUGAUCUCUUUUACUUUUCUCUGCAAGCUGCAGCCAUUGACGUAUUUUUCUUGAUCCACUACAGGCUUUAUCGAAGACUUUGACUGUUGAUGAGCUUUUCUAUCUCAAAGGGCAGUUUUCCUUAUUAGAACCUGACAGAAAUGGAUGCAUAACUCUAGAUAAUAUCAGAAUGGUUGGUUCAUCAUAGAGCUCUGAUAUGUUCUUUCCCAUACAUUUUGAAGCUACGCUGCUGACUCUUCCUGUUUCAUCCUCUUCAGGCCUUAACAAGAGAAGCCACGGAUGCGAUGAAAGAAACACGAGUUCAGGAGAUUCUUGUCUCGGUACCUUACUUAUGUUGUUGAUCUUAAGACAUCAUUUUCCUCCAGCACAAAUUGUACUCACUGUAUACCUGAAUUGUCUUUUCAGUUGAGUGCUCUUCAGUACAGAAGAAUGGACUUCCAUGAGUUCUGUGCAGCUGCAGUAAGUGUUCACCAGCUUGAAGCAUUAGACAGAUGGGAGCAACAUGCGAGAUCAGCUUAUGAAAUUUUCGAGAAGGAUGGCAAUCGAGCCAUUGUAAUUGACGAACUAGCUUCAGUAUGUCAUGUCUUCCUCUCCACCCACGUUCAUUUCCUAACUGAUAAAAAUUGGAGUCUCUUCACACAUUUCCUGUGGUGUUUCAGGAACUGGGUCUCAGCCCCUCGGUGCCGCUGCACGUUGUUCUGCAGGACUGGAUCCGGCACACCGAUGGGAAGCUCAGCUUCCUCGGGUUUGUCAAGUUGCUGCAUGGCAUGUCCAGCAGGUCCCUGUCAAAGAUGAGAUAGCUGUUGAUAAUCUCUAACGACAGUACAAAUUCAUGCUGCCCCAGCCCCAGCCCAACUUAGCAAGCAAGGCCAAGACUGCACACUGAGGUCGACACGACACGAGCGCUGCCUGCGCUAGAACCCGCCUGGUUUUGCCACUAAUUUGAGUAUAGAGUUCUGUUUGCGGUCGCCCGUGUACUUAUCAUCACCGUCCUCUUCAAAGUUCAUCAGCAUCGUCUUUGAGUAGGUUAGGAAAAGGAAAUUUCACCCGUGUCUCGGCAACAUGUGAUGCCUCUAACAGUCUCUUAGAAUAGCCCGCCCAGCCAUGUCCUGUCGCUGUGGGCAGCGUUGUAAAAUGCCCCCGUUCAUGUAACUGGAGCAGAGUCACCCUUUUGUCGUCAGUGUGCCGUUAUAUUGAUUGAGUUGAAGAUGCUUGAAUUUUGUGCUGCUCAUCCGGUUUUUGCUUCAACUUUCUUACUUGUUGGAAACGAUUGUUUUGGCAAUGCUUCACGAUGUAUUGAUCGGUGCAAAGUGCACGUAUAUAUGGAGUACAAAGUGGGCCACAACCUCAACUAUACAAAGACUAGGAGGUGGGCCAUACUAUACAAUAUANNNNNNNNNNNNNNNNNNNNNNNNNNNNNNNNNNNNNNNNNNNNNNNNNNNNNNNNNNNNNNNNNNNNNNNNNNNNNNNNNNNNNNNNNNNNNNNNNNNNNNNNNNNNNNNNNNNNNNNNNNNNNNNNNNNNNNNNNNNNNNNNNNNNNNNNNNNNNNNNNNNNNNNNNNNNNNNNNNNNNNNNNNNNNNNNNNNNNNNNNNNNNNNNNNNNNNNNNNNNNNNNNNNNNNNNNNNNNNNNNNNNNNNNNNNNNNNNNNNNNNNNNNNNNNNNNNNNNNNNNNNNNNNNNNNNNNNNNNNNNNNNNNNNNNNNNNNNNNNNNNNNNNNNNNNNNNNNNNNNNNNNNNNNNNNNNNNNNNNNNNNNNNNNNNNNNNNNNNNNNNNNNNNNNNNNNNNNNNNNNNNNNNNNNNNNNNNNNNNNNUAGGCAGUCCUUUCGUCAUGACGUCGGCGAACUGCUGCGCCGUCGGGACGUGGAGGACCCGGAUGCGCCCAAGGGCCACCUGCUCACGAACGAAGUGUAUAUCGAGCUCAAUAUGCUUCGUUCGACGAUGAUGGACCGGGUUGGCGAAGAGGUAAACGGCGGAGACGUUGUCGCAGUAGACGAGCGUAGCCUUGUGAACAUCACAAAGCAACUCCUGGUGCAGCUGACGGAGCCAAAAGCAUUCAGCAACGACGUUAGCCACUGCUCGAUACUCAGCCUCGGCACUCGAGCGGGAGACGGUGGGCUGUCGCUUGGAAGACCAAGAGAUCAGGGACGGCCCAAGGUAGACACAGUACCCCGAGGUGGAGCGCCGUGUGUCCGGGCAGCCAGCCCAGUCCGCAUCAGAGUAGGCGACGAGGUCGGUGGAGGCGGAGGCCGUCAACGUAAGUCCCAAGGACUGGGUGCCGCGUAUGUAUCGAAGGAUACGCUUCACCAGAGUCCAGUGAGAGUCGCGCGGAGCAUGCAUGUGAAGACAGACCUGCUGAACGGCAUAUUGCAAGUCGGGGCGCGUCAGGGUCAGGUACUGCAGGGCGCCCACAAUGGAGCGGUAGAAGACCGCAUCAGAUGCAGGUGAACCCUCCAAAGCGGAGACCUUGGCCUUGGUGUCGACUGGCGUGGGAGCGGGCUUGCAGUUAAGCAUGCCAGCUCGGUCGAGAAGCUCAUGGGCAUAGCGCUGCUGAUGCAGGAAGAACCCAUCUGGCCGUCGAACCACCUCAAUGCCAAGGAAAUAAUGCAGAGGACCCAAGUCCUUCAGGGCAAACUCAUCACGAAGACGAGCAGUAAGCCGCUGGAGGAGCAGGACAGUGGAUGCCGUCAGAAUGAUGUCGUCGACGUACAACAGCAAGUAGGCCGUGUCAACUCCGUGAUGAUACACGAAGAGGGACGCAUCGGAGCGAGUCGAUGUAAAUCCGAGCGUCUGCAGGAAGGCGGCGAUGCGCUGGUACCAGGCUCGAGGUGCCUGCUUCAACCUGUAGAGCGAACGGGAGAGCAAGCACACAUGAUCUGGAUGCGUGGCGUCGACGAAGCCGGUGGGCUGCUCACAGAACACCUGCUCAGCCAGGUGGGCGUGCAAGAAGGCAUUGGACACAUCCAACUGAUGCACAGGCCAUGCUCGGGACACGGCUAGCUGGAGCACGGCGCGGAUCGUGCCCGGUUUAACAACCGGGGCAAAUGUGUCGGUGAAGUCCACGCCAGCGCGCUGCCGAAAACCCCGAACCACCCAGCGAGCUUUAUAGCGCUCGAGAGUGCCAUCCGGAUGAGUCUUGUGCCGAAAGACCCACUUGCCCGUGAUGAUGUUGGCACGGGGUGGACGGGGAACGAGUUGCCAGGUACGGUUCCGCUGGAGCGCAUCGAACUCUUCCUGUAUCGCAGCGAGCCAAUGAGGAUCCCGAAGGGCGGCUCGAGCGGACGAUGGGAGAGGAGACGGCUCAGAGGUGGAAGCAGCGAGAAGAUACUCAUCGCUGGGGUACCGCGUGCUCGGGCGAAGGGUGCCAGCCCGAGUGAAAGAACAUGCGGUGCCCCCAUGUUUGGUUUUGGUAAUUGAUGACAAUCUCUAUGGACUAAUGGUUGUCUUGAGUUAUAUUUGAAGGAUUUGUCCAUAGGAUUUUCUUGAAGUUCAUGUGUUGGUUUCAAGGAGUUUAUGAGUUGACCAAGGUGCUAUUAAGGAAUUAUCCAAAGAUUGGUCAUGCGAGUGUUGAGCUUAUUGCAAGCAUGUCUUGAAGAAGAAGGUUGUGUGAUCAUUCAUGUUUACCUUCAAUACAUCAUCCAAAUGAAGAGAGUUGCAAAGAUUUAAGGUUGAUCAAGACUAAGUCAAUAGUGAAUCAAGUUGAUCAACUCACAAAGCGUAGAAGAUGUACCGAGAGGGAUCAAGUGAUCCCAUGGUAUGGUAAGCAUUGUCCAUUGCACUUUGUGUACUAACCCAUGGUCUAUGUGAGAGUUCUAUGUGGGGUUAGGUACGUAUCCAUGGGCUUGCAUCAAGAGGAAGAUAUCAUACAACCCAUGGAAAGGAUGACAUCAAGUGGUGAUCGUCAUCAAGAUUGUCGUGUGCAAGUUCAAGUGGAGCAUCACGAAGAGAUCAAAUGCUUGAAUCUUGCCAUCCAUUGUGGUGUCAAUGGACUUGUGAAGAUGAGCCGAAGAGUGGCUCACCCAUAGUAGACUAUGGGGGAGCAAUCAUCUAGUCUUCAUCGAGCCAACGCAAUCAAGAAAGGUGGUCCAUCUUGAGGGAGUCAAGAUCGUCAUCAUCUAGCUCAAGUGGACCAUGUGCAAGGCAAAGGUUUGCCCUUGAUAGGUUUUCUAUUUUACCAGUCUCAUGGUGGUAGUAGGGAGACCGGGUUAUAUGAUCGUUUGCCGUACUAUCAAGGGGGGCUCUCAAGUUGGUAGCUUGAUCGUAUCGUUAAUAGAGAGCUCAAACCCUUGCAUCCUUGCAUCAUGUUUCUUGGUUCUUGUUUGGUUCUCUUUGUGAGUCUUAGAGCUUAUGGUCAUCUUGAUGACAAGCUUGAGUUCAUCGAAAACGGAGUUCACAUGCGUCUUCUAUGAUGUUUUCGGUGUUGGAGGUUUUACCGGUCUUUUCCGAGGAAGGGUUCUCACCAUUUUCCUUUGGGACUUUUAUCAUUUGCUUAUUCUUGAUAUUUCUAUCAAGAUUGUGUUAGCCCAUGUCGUUAGCUUUCCAAUAAACUUGGUUUCGUUGAAUUCGGAGUCCGUUUGCAAAAGUUGUGGCUGUUUUGGUAAAGGCUGCAGCGGUACUACCGCGACUAGAGCGGAUGUAAUUUUUUACUACCGCUCCAGAGCAGUACUACCGCGGCUCCUGAGCGGUAGUACCGCCCCAGAGCAGUACUACCGCGGCUCUUAAGCGGUAGUACCACUCCGGACCAAAAUCUCGUGUUUUGCUCAGCGGAAGUAGGCACAGAAGUAUUUUUUUUAGUACCGCUCGCAAGCAGUAGUACCGCUACCAUUUGUGGUAGUACCGUGAGGUCGAGCGGUAGUACCGUGAGGACAAGCGGUACUACCGCUCCGAAGGUUCUUUUGGCCUUUUUGCCUCCUCGCUGUUGUGUUUCGAAGGGGUACUACCGUCCUAGCGGUAGUACCGCUCCUUGGAGCGGUAGUACCGCUCUGUGCGGGCUGUGAGCAUAACGGUUGGAUUCGGGAGCUCCUAUAAAAGGGGGUCUUCUUCCCGAUUCAACUUUAUCCUUUGAGCUCAUGUUCUUUCCCCAUUGUUGACCUUCUUCGAGCUUGCUAACUCUCAAUCCCUCCAUGGAUUCUUGCUAGUUUUUGAGGGAAAAGAGAGAGGAGAUCUAGAUCCACAUUUCCACCAAUCACUUUCUCCUCUAUGUGAGGGGAACCCCUUGGAUCUAGUUCUUGGAGUUCUUGGUGUUCUCCUUGUUCUUCCUCUCAUUUUCCUCCCUAGCAUUAGUUGCUUCGGUGGGAUUUGAGAGAGAAGGACUUGGGCACUUCGUGUGCCCUUGCCAUUGCAUUUGGUGCAUCGGUUUGAGUUCUCCACGGUGAUACGUGGAAGUUACAAGUUGAGAAGCUUAUUACUCUUGGGUGCUUGGUGCCCUUGAGCUUGUUCCUCUUGGGUGCUUGGGUGCCCUAGACGGUUGGUGGUGUUCGGAGCUCAAUCAUUGUGGUGUAAAGCUCCGGGCAAGCGUCGGGGUCUCCAAUUAGGUUGUGGAGAUCGCCCCGAGCAAUUUGACGGGUACCGGUGACCGCCCCCAAGGGUUGCCAAAGUGUACGGGUUCGGUGACCGCCCCCAAGGGUCGCCAUUUGUACGGGUUCGGUGACCGCCCUCAAGGUUCCCUUAGUGGAAUCACGGCAUCUUGCAUUGUGCGAGGGCGUGAGGAGAUUACGGUGGCCCUAGUGGCUUCUUGGUUAGCAUUGUGCCUCCACACCCCUCCAAACAGAGAUUAGCAUCCGCAAGGGUGUGAACUUCGGGAUACAUCAUCGUCUCCGCGUGCCUCGGUUAUCUCUUACCCGAGCCCCUUUACUUAUGCACUUUACUUUGUGAUAGCCAUAUUGUUCUUUGUCAUAUAUCUUGCUAUCACAUAGUUGCUUAUCUUGCUUAGCAUAAGUUGUUGGUGCACAUAGGUGAGCCUAGUUGUUGUAGGUUUUGUGCUUGACAAAUUAACCACUAGGUUUAUUCCACAUUUGUUCAAGCCUAAAUCGUAAUUAUUUUAAAGCGCCUAUUCACCCCCCCUCUAGGCGACAUCCUCGAUCUUUCAAUUGGUAUCAGAGCCUCGUCUCUCUUUAUUAGGCUUUACCGCCUAGAGAGUAAAGAUGUCGACUAGGGGAUUAGGAUUCUCUGACACUCUUAGUUUCGAUGGCACAAAUUUUGAUGUUUGGGUAAUUCGCAUGCUUAAUCUCUUUAGGGUCAUGGACCCAAAUUUAGAGCGAAUUGUAGAUAUGGGUUUUUCUCCUCCAAAGGAUCCCCAAAGAUUAUCUUUAGAGGAUGAGAAAAACUCUUAUCUCAAUGCUCAAUCUUCUAAUGUGCUUUUCGAUGCUUUGAGCAAUGUAGUUAUAUUUCAACUCAUGCCGUUCCGAGAUGCUCAUGAGUUGUAGACGAAGCUUCAAGAUAAAUAUGGUGUGUCCAAGAUUUGUGGGGAUGAUUGUUCUCCCUCCACCUCCGGUCGUAUAGUCUUCUCAACUUCUUCUACUUCACCUACAUGUGGUUUUCCACAAGGUAAUGACAUGGUGAGUAGUGUUGGUCAUUGCAAUGAUGAUAGUAUGCUUAUUGUGGAUGAUCCUUCAUCACUAUAUUAUUGCAAUGCUCCUUCUUUGGGCUUUAACACUUCGAGCACUCCAAAUAUUUCACAUGCUUGUGUUGAUAGUCCUUUCAUAUCAUGUAGAAAUUGCUUGACUAAAUCUCAUGAUGAUAUGCUUGCUAUGUCUUGUUGCCAUGAUAAAAAUGCAUCUAUUUCCUUGAAUUGUUGUGCUAACAAUGUAGUGGAAAUCGAACACUCCAUGGAACAAGAUGUGGUGUUUAAUGGUGCCUCAAGGGAUCCUACAUCAUCAUCUAUUGCUUUUUGCCUUAUGGCUAAGGUGUCAAAGGUAUGUCCUACUUUGUACCCCAAUAUGUCUCUUGAUGAUGAUGUUGAUGCUAAUAAUGAUGAGGAUAAUGAUGAAGAGAAUGAUAAUGUUGCCUCCUUAAAAACUAAGGGGGAAAUGAUUUUUAAAGCUCUUCAUAAAAAUAAAAUUGCUCGUUCCAACUUCAUGGAAAUAAUGUCCAUUGCCAUUGAUGGCAAGAAAUACAUUGAGGAGUUGGAAUCUCAUCUAGAGGAGCAUGAGGCCACCAUUGAUAAAAUGGAAGGUCAUGGGCGUGAUUACGCUAAUGAGAUUGCGGACCUCUCUCAAGCUCUUGAACUUGAACAAACCACCAAGGAAUCUCUUGAGGAGACUUUUGCUCUAGAAUUGUCUAAAGUGAAGGAAUCUACUGAUAGAGCUCUUAAGGUGGCCAAUGUUUUUGAAACCAAAAAUGCUAAGCUUGAAGUUGCUCAUGCUAGACUCCUUGAGGAUUUUGAGCACCUCGAAAAUGGCUCAAGGGUCAUCAAGGGUGAGCUCAUCAAACUCACCGAGUCUCAUGCUCAACUUGAAGCUUCUUAUUUAAAAGAGCUUGCCAAAUUGCCUUCUCCUCUUGUUGUUAAUGAUGAUGCUUGUGCUACUAAUUCUAUUACUUGUGAAGCAUCCAUUUUGAAGGAGAAUGUUGAGCUACGGGCUCAACUUGAGGUGCUAUCUUGCAAUUAUGGGAAAUUGGAAGAAAGUCAUGAAAAGAUCUCAAGCUCUCAUGAUGAUCUUCUAGUAUCCCAUAGUGUGCUAAAGAUAGCUCAUGAGGCCAUGAUUGCUAAGGUAACAUCUAGUGAGCCUCAUGUGGAUACUAGCACUACUUCUAGUCAAAAUAGUAUAUUGCCAUGUGCUAGUCCUUGUAAUUCAUCUACUCACAAUGUUGGUACAUCUUGUGAUGAAUUGCUUUCCUUGCCUUGUUGCUCUAACGAUGAAGCUUAUACUUCCUCUAGUACUUGUGUUGAGACUAACCAUGUAGAGGAAAUCAAAGAGCUCAAGGCCCAAGUCACUUCUUUGAAGAAAGACUUGGAAAAGUGUCAUGAAGGGAAGGCCACACUCAACAAUAUCUUGAGUGUGCAAAAAUCCCCCAAUGACAAAGGUGGACUUGGAUUCAACUCCAACAAGAAGAAGAAGUCCAAGUUGAACAAGAAGAAGAGCCAAGAACAAGUCAAGAAUUCGGCCAAGAUUAUUUGCUUCAAGUGCAAAGUUGAAGGGCAUCAUGUUAGAUCGUGCCCAUUGAAGAAGAAGGCCAUUAGUGUCAAGCAACAAGGGAAGAGGGAACACGUUCAAUCUCAUGCUCAACAUCAAGUUGAAGAAAGGCCUCUUCCCAAGAAGACUCAAGUUAAUGCUUCUCAAAUUGAGAAAUCAAGUGAGAAGAAAGUGAAGAGUAGACGUUGCUACUUAUGUCGUGAGAAAGGUCACGUCGCUUCUUCAUGCACUAGUGGUAACUUAUCCAACCCAAUUAUUAUUGAUGAUAUCUAUUCUCUUGGUAAGGAUAAGGUUGGCAAUGUGUUUGCCAAGUUUGUUGGUACUCAAAGUGGUGUCAAGCAAAGAACCAUUUGGGUAGCCAAACCUAUUGUGACUAACCUCUUAGGACCCAACUUGGUUGGGGACCAACAAGAUCAAACUUGAUCAAUAGGUGUUGUUGGAGGGCAUUGGAGACUUGGCUACAUUAUGAAGAAUUAAGGGGACUUCAUCAUUCUCAUUGUCUCAAGCCAAGUCAAUUGGAUUAUCAAGUUUCUAUCUUAUAUCCACUGUGCCUCCUUGCGGUAACUUGUACUUAAAUUGUUUACCUUGAAAGUUACUUGCCCCCUUGCAUGUUUUGGUUUUGUUCCUUGCAUGUGUUUGUAUAUGUUGCGCUUCCAACUUGCUUAUCUUGAGCAAUCAAGUAUGUGUGUGUUGGUUUGCACAUCAUGUACGUGUGCGUCGUGCGUUGAGCCUUUUUGCUUCCUGUUUGUAUCCUAGUUGGCUCGUGUGAGAUAUCAAUGGAACAUCCCAUUUUGGGGGAGUGAUGUGCUUUGUGCACCUCACAAUCCUAUAAAUGUGUGUACAUGAGGAAUACCAUCUAGUAUUGAUAUUACAAGAUUAUCUAGUCGCUAGGUGCUAUAUCUCUCAUGAGAAAUUCAAAUUCUAAAAAUUCCAUUGAUUAUCUCGUGUUGGAUCCUCUUAUUGCCUCUUGUUUAGUUCUUAUUGGUAUCACAUUAUGGGGGAGUAAUAUGCUAAGUGCAUAUUACAAGCCUAGAAAAUAUGUACAUUUGAGAUAUUGUCACCUAGAAUUGAUAUUGUAAAUUAUCUUGUUCCUAGGUGGCAUGUUAGCUCUACAAGUUGCAAUUUUCUUGUGUGUGGUGUGAAGAUGAUGUUGGAUAUCCUUGCUAUCUACCACCGGGAAUUCUUUCCAUCUAUUUCUUGUCUUUUGACAAUCGGUAGUCACUUAUGUGUGGUAGAAUUUAAUUGAUCAUCUUUACAUUGGCUUUUGUUUAUUUACCUUUUUUCUCUUGCCAAGGUUUGUGUUAACUCCCAUUGUCUUCCAUACCACUUGUGGAUCUUGUUUAUUUCUUGUUCUUGUCUAGUGUUUUCUAGAUAUAGUGAAAGCAGUGAUCCCACCUUGUGCAUUUUGUAUUCAAAUACAAAUCCUAUAUAAUGCACAACUCGUGGGGGAGCUAUUCUAUUUUCUUCACUCUUCUUGUGAUCCUUAUCAAGUGUGUUUUGGUGGAAGGCAAGCCAUUUCUUUUUGGUACUUUGUGCCAUCAUGAAACUUUGUUGAGAGCUUGGUAUGUUUGGAACCAUUCUCUCUUUGGGAGUUUGACAUCUUUAGUUUAGUGUGUAUCAAUGGAUAUCUCAUUCCUUGAUGUAUCUUUAAUGAUAUCUUCCAAGUAAUGAUUUCUCCAUUUGGUAUCCUUUUCACUUGGCGUUUAUUUGUCUUUUGGUUUCGGGUUUUGAAAGUCUUGAGCAUGCAUGUUUACUUCAUGUAUUUCAUUUGGCAUGCUUUCUUUCUUUGACUCAAUAUAUAUGGGAAACUCCACCUAGUCUCAAUUUGGAUGAGAUGUGCAUGAAAUUCAUUUUCAUAUCUAUAUGCACAUAUUUAUGUGGAGUUUGUCCUAUGUAUUGGUGUUUCUAACUAUUUGGUCCCGAUGAGUUUGGGUACCGUUUAGUUUGUGUUGUUCUUCUAGGAACAUUUGGAGAUGCAUUGGAUGCUCGGCUCACUCACAAGGAAGGUGUUGUCACCAUGUGCAUAUUGGAGUCAAGCUAGGAUGAUCAAUGAACUACUAUCUACCUUCAAUUGGUAUCUACUACAUCCUUCCAAUGAUAUCUCGGUAACAAGUAUCUAUUCAUGCUUUCUCCUCUUGCAUUCAACCUUGUGUAGGUUGCAUCUUGGCAUGAUUUUCAUUUCAUAUCUUGUUAUACUUGUUUCCUUUCUCAAAGCAUCCCAACGAUGAUCUCUUGUUGCUAGUUGUGAUGCCCUUGAUGGAUGUGUGUUUGGACUUCAUUUAUAUACAAUAAGACCAUAUCUAGCCAAGUGCUAUGCUUUCAAGCAAAUAUCUUAUUGGUAUAUUUAUGACUUCCUUGUGGAUAUCUUGUUCCUUCGUGUUGUAACUAUUUCGGGUGUACAUUCUUCUUUGUAUAUAUAUAUAUCAUCAUGAUUUCGUCUACAUAGAACCUUAUACACUUGAGAGAAAUUACAUCUCUAGUUGAUAUCCUUUCUUUCACGUCCACCUUGUCUUUCUUAUGUUAUUUCUUUUGUGGCUCCGUGAAAGCUUUUGCCUUGAGUGCGUGUCCUCUAUCGUUGCAUCUUGAUGCACUCUUGUGUGGUGAAGAUUAUUUUCCUCAUGCUUAUCGUUACGAGGCUUUUGCCAUCUUAAUUGGCAUGCCUCGUCUUGAUGAGGCUUUCAUCUUCUAUCUUCACCACGGGUUGUCACAAGCAUAAGUUAUUUAUAUGCUUAUUAGUAAGCUUAUGAACCCAUUUGCUGGUUGUGUGUGGGAAUGACAGGCCUUGCACCGUGUGCCUCAUUCUUUCAAGACUAUGUUGAUGCUUAAUACUCAUCCUAAUUUUAGUCUUCUCAAGUGCUUCGCCAUGACUCACACACAUCAUUUUGGUUGAGCCCAUUCUUAAGUUGCCUCUUUUACUUGUUGCUCAACCAUGUGUUUGUUGCAAGUACUAGGCUUUGUUUCCUAUAUGCUCACUUGCACUUGUUGUAAGUUUCUAUUGAUUUUGGGGGAGCUAUGAUCCUAUUUUGUGCACUUUCUAUCCAAUUACAAAACCUUCUUUUUUGUGCACAAAUCAUGGGGAGCUUCUCUAGUUUCUUUAGAACACUCCUCGUCUCAUAUCAUAAUAUCCUUCAUUCAUGUGGCUCAUAGGAUCUUUGGUCUAGUUGGUUCAAUUGAUAUCCUUUGAUUGCUUGCUUCAAUUGGUAUCUUUUGAUUGCUUGAUUGCUUGUUUCUCUCUUUGUUAUGUCUUUGUGGCAUAUCAUUCUUUUGCAAUCUUUGGGCCUCAAUAUAGUUUGUGUUCCUCCAAGUAUUAACCGUUGGAUAUGUGUAUUGCAUUCCACUCUCUUGUUGAAAAAUACACAAUUUAUGGAGGACCACAAUUUAUAUUGGUCUUCUUAGCUUUUCGCCCAUUUUGGCAAUCGAUGCCAAUGGGGGAGAAGUUUCAGAGAGUUUUGCGGAGAAGUUUAGAGAGUUAUCUCCUCUUGCUUUGGUUUUGUUCCUUAGCAUUUGCAUCUCAUACGCAUGCACUAUUGGUUGUUGUAUUGCAUAGUGAAGCAUAAUUCCUUAUAUAAACUCUCUUGAAAGUGAUUUUCAUCAAUUACCAAAAUGGGGGAGAUUGAAAGAACAUGCGGUGCCCCCAUGUUUGGUUUUGGUAAUUGAUGACAAUCUCUAUGGACUAAUGGUUGUCUUGAGUUAUAUUUGAAGGAUUUGUCCAUAGGAUUUUCUUGAAGUCCAUGUGUUGGUUUCAAGGAGAUUAUGAGUUGACCAAGGUGCUAUUAAGGAAUUAUCCAAAGAUUGGUCAUGCGAGUGUUGAGCUUAUUGCAAGCAUGUCUUGAAGAAGAAUGUUGUGUGAUCAUUCAUGUUUACCUUCAAUACAUCAUCCAAAUGAAGAGAGUUGCAAAGAUUUAAGGUUGAUCAAGACUAAGUCAAUAGUGAAUCAAGUUGAUCAACUCACAAAGCGUAGAAGAUGUACCGAGAGGGAUCAAGUGAUCCCAUGGUAUGGUAAGCAUUGUCCAUUGCACUUUGUGUACUAACCCAUGGUCUAUGUGAGAGUUCUAUGUGGGGUUAGGUACGUAUCCAUGGGCUUGCAUCAAAAGGAAGAUAUCAUACAACCCAUGGAAAGGAUGACAUCAAGUGGUGAUCGUCAUCAAGAUUGCCGUGUGCAAGUUCAAGUGGAGCAUCACGAAGAGAUCAAGUGCUUGAAUCUUGCCAUCCAUUGUGGUGUCAAUGGACUUGUGAAGAUGAGCUGAAGAGUGGCUCACCCAUAGUGGACUAUGGGGGAGCAAUCAUCUAGUCUUCAUCGAGCCAACACAAUCAAGAAAGGUGGUCCAUCUUGAGGGAGUCAAGAUCGUCAUCAUCUAUCUCAAGUGGACCAUGUGCAAGGCAAAGGUUUUCCCUUGAUAUGUUUUCUAUUUUACCGGUCUCAUGGUGGUAGUAGGGAGACCGGGUUAUAUGAUCAUUUGCCGUACUAUCAAGGGGGGCUCUCAAGUUGGUAGCUUGAUUGUAUCGUUAGUAGAGAGAUCAAACCCUUGCAUCCUUGCAUCAUGUUUCUUGGUUCUUCUUUGGUUCUCUUUGUGAGUCUUAGAGCUUAUGGUCAUCUUGAUGACAAGCUUGAGUUCAUCGAAAACGGAGUUCACAUGCGUCUUCUAUGAUGUUUUCGGUGUUGGAGGUUUUACCGGUCUUUUCCGAGGAAGGGUUCUCACCAUUUUACUUUGGGACUUUUCUCAUUUGCUUAUUCUUGAUAUUUCUAUCAAGAUUGUGUUAGCCCAUGUCGUUAGCUUUCCAACAAACUUGGUUUCGUUGAAUUCGGAGUCCGUUUGCAAAAGUUGUGGCUGUUUUGGUAAAGGCUGCAGCGGUACUACCGCGACUAGAGCGGAUGUAAUUUUUUACUACCGCUCCAGAGCAGUACUACCGCGGUUCCUGAGCGGUAGUACCGCUCCAGAGCAGUACUACCGCGGCUCCUAAGCGGUAGUACCGCUCCGGACCAAAAUCUCAUGUUUUGCUCAGCGGAAGUAGGCACAGAAGUAUUUUUUUAGUACCGCUCGCAAGCAGUAGUACCGCUACCAUUUGCGGUAGUACCAUGAGGUCAAGCGGUAGUGCCGUGAGGACGAGCGGUACUACCGCUUCGAAGGUUCUUUUGGCCUUUUUGCCUCCUCGCUGUUGUGUUUCGAAGGGGUACUACCGCCCUAGCGGUAGUACCGCUCCUUGGAGCGGUAGUACCGCUCUGUGCGGGCUGUGAGCAUAACGGUUGGAUUCGGGAGCUCCUAUAAAAGGGGGUCUUCUUCCCGAUUCAACCUUAUCCUCUGAGCUCGUGUUCUUCCCCCAUUGUUGACCUUGUUCGAGCUUGCUAACUCUCAAUACCUCCAUGGAUUCUUGCUAGUUUUUGAGGGAAAAGAGAGAAGAGAUCUAGAUCCACAUUUCCACCAAUCACUUUCUCCUCUAUGUGAGGGGAACCCCUUGGAUCUAGUUCUUGGAGUUCUUGGUGUUCUCCUUCUUGUUCUUCCUCUCAUUUUCCUCCCUAGCAUUAGUUGCUUCGGUGGGAUUUGAGAGAGAAGGACUUGGGCACUCCGUGUGCCCUUGCCAUUGCAUUUGGUGCAUCGAUUUGAGUUCUCCACGGUGAUACGUGGAAGUUACAAGUUGAGAAGCUUAUUACUCUUGGGUGCAUGGUGCCCUUGAGCUUGUUCCUCUUGGGUGCUUGGGCGCCCUAGACGGUUGGUGGUGUUCGGAGCUCAGUCAUUGUGGUGUAAAGCUCCGGGCAAGCGUCGGGGUCUCCAAUUAGGUUGUGGAGAUCGCCCCGAGCAAUUUGACGGGUACCGGUGACCGUCCCCAAGGGUUGCCAAAGUGUACGGGUUCGGUGACCGCCCCCAAGGGUCGCCAUUUGUACGGGUUCGGUGGCCGCCCUCAAGGGUCCCUUAGUGGAAUCACGACAUCUUGCAUUGUGCGAGGGCGUGAGGAGAUUACGGUGGCCCUAGUGGCUUCUUGGGGAGCAUUGUGCCUCCACACCGCUCCAAACGGAGAUUAGCAUCCGCAAGGGUGUGAACUUCGGGAUACAUCAUCGUCUCCGCGUGCCUCGGUUAUCUCUUACCCGAGCCCCUUUACUUAUGCACUUUACUUUGUGAUAGCCAUAUUGUUCUUUGUCAUAUAUCUUGCUAUCACAUAGUUGCUUAUCUUGCUUAGCAUAAGUUGUUGGUGCACAUAGGUGAGCCUAGUUGUUGUAGGUUUUGUGCUUGACAAAUUAACCUUUAGGUUUAUUCCGCAUUUGUUCAAGCCUAAACCGUAAUUAUUUUAAAGCGCCUAUUCACCCCCCUCUAGGCGACAUCCUCGAUCUUUCACCGAGAGCGAGUUAUCGGGUGGGGCAGCGGGUCCGGAGGGGAGGCUGGUGAGGAUGAAGACGAGCCCGCCUCCGGUGUGGCCGCCGCGGGCGAGGCUGCCGGCGUGGCGGCGGGCGAGGCCACCGCGGGCGAGGCCGGGGACACCGGGGGCGUCGCGGGCGUCAAGGGAGGUGCGGCCCCUACGACAGCCAAUCGGGGAGAGACUCGACCCGUGGCGCGGGGGGCACCCUCAAAGCCGGGAGGCGGCCCAAGAGAGGCAUGUGGGCGGCCAUCACCGGGAGCGGGCAAGGCCGCAACAUCCGAAGGUACCUGCUGGAACGGAAAAACCAUCUCAUCAAAGUAAAUGUGUCGUGAAGUGAUCACCCGAUGAGAGAUAGGAUCAUAGCAGCGGUAGCCUUUGGUGUUAGGAGGAUAGCCGAGAAAAAUACAGGCCACAGACCGAGGUGCGAGCUUAUGAGAAGCAGUGGAAGCGAUGCUAGGGUAGCACAGGCAACCGAAGAUGUGGAGCUCAGCAUAGGAGGGUGGCGUGCCAAACAAGAGGUGAUGAGGUGCAAAAUUCCCGCGAGUGCGACAAGGACGAAUGUUAAUGAGUAGUGAUGCGGUGGCAAGCGCGUCGGACCAAAAACGUGGGGGCACGUUGGCGUGAAAGAGGAGGGUGCGAACGCAGUCAUUGAGAGUGUGAAGCAUGCGCUCAGCGCGGCCGUUUUGUUGCGAAGUGUACGGGCAAGUGAGACGAAAGAUUGUGCCGUGUGUGGCGAGAAGGUUGCGGAUCGCAAGGUUAUCGAACUCCUUCCCGUUGUCUGUUUGCAACGCAUGAAUGGGACAUCCAAACUGCGUGGAGACAUAGGAGUAGAAGGUGGUGAGAGUGGCAACAGAGUCCGACUUUCGCCGUAACGGGAAGGUCCACACAUAGUGCGAAAAAUCAUCAAGUAUGACAAGGUAAUAAAGAUGGCCCGUGUUACUUGCAACAUGAGAGGUCCAGACAUCACUAUGAAUUAACUCAAAUGGGUAUGAUGCAACAUGCGAGGAAUUGCUAAAAGGAAGAUGAACAUGUUUGCCGAGGCGACAAGCAUGACAAGUGUGAUCGUCGAUCUUAUUACACGUGAAUGAAAAACUCCGAAGAAUAUGAUGAAGGGUGGCGAUGUUGGGAUGACCGAGACGCGCGUGCCAAAGGUCCACUCUGGCGGAAAGCGCCAUGGGUGCAACAAUGAAUGAGGUAGGUGAGUGGACCGGGUAGAGCUCGUCGGGGCUGUAACAUCAGUGGAGCACCAUCCGGGUGCGGGAAUCCUUGACAGAAAAGCCAAACAUGUCAAAUUCAACGGUAACAGGAUUUUCACGUGUAAGAGAACGAAUGGAAACAAGAUUUUUAAUGAUGUCAGGAGAAACAAGCACAUUAGAAAGAUAUAAUGGCAUGGAGUUAGAAGGAAAAGCAGCAUGGCCGACAUGAGUAAUGGGCAUGGAAGAACCAUCACCCACGGUAAUGCGAGCAGCGGUGUGAACGGGAUGAGCGGCAAGAAGGUUACCAGGGUUGGCGGCCAUGUGAGCCGUGGCUCCGGUGUCCAUAUACCAAUCGCUACCGCCAGUGUACUGCUGUGGCGUGGGGGCGGUGUGGAGAGCCGCUAGGAGCGCGGGAUCCCAAGGCGCCGGCGGAAGGGCCGGGGCGGACGGCGCCGGUUGAGGCGGUGGCGCCACAAACCCAUAGCCCGAGGGGCCGUAGAGCAGCGCGGGCUGGUACACCUGAGGGGCCGCGUACAGGGCCUGAUGAGGGGCUGGGCGGGCGCCGAAGGAGCCGGGGACGGGGGCACGCGGUAUAGGCAUGGAAUACGCGUGCACAACCCCCGUCCAAGGGUUCUAGCCGGCCUGCCAGGGAGCCGGUGGUAGCUGGUGCUGCGGCUGGCGGGGCGCCCCGCCGUGGGCAGCCGGCAGCUGCGGCAGCUGCGGCUUGCGGCCACCUCGGCCGCGACGCCCGCCCUGGCGCUGCUGCUGCUCGGUGGGGGGCGGAGGGGCCUGCGGCGGCGCCGGGUAGGGAAACCCGGGCGGCGGCGCCUGGAAGGAGCCCGGGGCGGGCCGCGGCAGUGGGCGGCGCACAGCCACGGGUACCGACGGUGAGAGCCGUGUGGGUGGCCCGGGUGCGCGACAUCCGCAUCUGCCGCUCCUCCUGCUUCAGGUACGCGACGAUCUUGGGGAAGGUCGGAUUGGUGAUGAGGGGGAUGUUGGAGGCGGCGUUCCCGAAGUCGUCGUUCAGGCCGGCGAUGAGGGUGUUGAGGAGAAGCUCAUCAGAGACCUUCUCGCCGAGGUCACGGAGCUCGUCAACAAGUUUCUUGAGGCGCAUGCAAUAAUCGUCAACAGACGACUCAAGCUGUUGGCACCCAAAAAACUCGCCGUGCAAGAAGACCUUGCGUUGGAGCGCGUUGUCGAUGAAGAGGCCGUUGAGCUUGGUCCAAACGGCGUGAGCGUCAUCGUCGGCGGAGACCACCGUGUGGAAGAGGUCCUUCGAGAUGGUGGUGUAGAACCAAUGGAUGAGAGUGGCGUCGAUGGCCGUCCACUCCUCAUCGUCCUCCAUGAAGCGGGAGUCCACGGAGCCAUCUAUGUGAUCCCGGAGAUUGUACUCACGGAACACGAGGGAGAAGUACGUCUUUCAGGCGUAGUACAUGGAGGUGAGGUGGUCGAGGACGACGGGAACCCGGGCGAGGAUGUUGAGGUCGCGGAUGACGACGGGAUCGGGACCUUCGAACGGGUUGGUGCGGCGGCUGCGGGUGGUACUGGUGGAACCGGGGGAGGCCAUGGCCUAGAGGGGCGGUGUGGCGGCGCUUGGGCGGCGGCGCGGCAGGGAGGAAGGCGGCGUGGCUNNNNNNNNNNNNNNNNNNNNNNNNNNNNNNNNNNNNNNNNNNNNNNNNNNNNNNNNNNNNNNNNNNNNNNNNNNNNNNNNNNNNNNNNNNNNNNNNNNNNNNNNNNNNNNNNNNNNNNNNNNNNNNNNNNNNNNNNNNNNNNNNNNNNNNNNNNNNNNNNNNNNNNNNNNNNNNNNNNNNNNNNNNNNNNNNNNNNNNNNNNNNNNNNNNNNNNNNNNNNNNNNNNNNNNNNNNNNNNNNNNNNNNNNNNNNNNNNNNGGCGAUGAGAUCGCGGCAGCGGCGGCGGCACGGGUUUGGGUUAGGAUCGUAGGUCUGAUACCAUGUUGGAAACGAUUGUUUUGGCAAUGCUUCACGAUGUAUUGAUCGGUGCAAAGCGCACGUAUAUAUGAAGUACAAAGUGGGCCACAACCUCAACUAUACAAAGACUAAGAGGUGGGCCAUACUAUACAAUAUACUGCCUCCAUUCCAAAAUAGAUGACUCAACUUUAUACUAAAGUUAGUACAAAGUUGGGUCAUCUAUUUUAGAACGGAGGCAGUACAUGCAUAAACCAUAUAUUCAACGUUACUAAUUGUCUUGACUCUCUGAUUUUACCGUGCGGCCUUAUGGUGCCAGUGAAGGAUGGGUGGCUGUCGUCGCAUGGGCAAGUGCACUUAUGUCAUUUUUGUAUGGCUGGUACUCAGUGAUAUGUUUGGUUGUUGUCUGAAACGAACCGUACCAUUUCUUUGGUUAUAGCAAAAAAUUUGGCCCUUGAUUUGUUAUUUAUUUUUUGUCACUUGAUCGUAGGGUGAAUCUCGAUAAAUCAUCGGUGUUUUUUAGUGAGGGUUGCCCUCAAACUACUAAAGGGCAAGUCAAAGAAUGAGACCUUCAAGUACUUGAAGCACAAGCACGGAAUAUGGAGCAAGAUUCCAAAAGUGUCCUUAGCUCGACCUCAUUUUUUUGGAAAUGGAGGCAUACCCCCGGCCUCUGCAUCAUGAUGAUGCAUACAACUCUCUUAUUAAAAAUCCAGAAAGUAUUGCCAAAAAGGUCUUACAGCUCGCAAAUGAAGCAAAACAAAGUAAAUAAAACAAAAAAAUACAAGCGGACAAAGACAACCGAUACGGUAAUAAUAAGGAUAAGCUCUCUAGACUCCUAUCCUGUUAUGCAUACGCCAUACGAACCGGUUGAAUAUAACCCAAGCCACCAUCUCCCAUUGGUUGCACCCAGUAACCAAAGGCUCCCUGGAGUCCAUAGGAGUGAGUAAGGACCACGUACGGAUCCAAGUUGUAGCUUUGAAGAUAACCUGCAAAAAAGUUAAGUUGUGUUGUCUAUUAAAAAUCAUAUCAUUUCUGCAGUUUCAUAUAGCCCAUAAUAUGCACAUAUUCCAAUCCGAAUACGAGAUGUUGUGAUCUUUUCAACCCCAGCUAACCACGUCCCAAACAAAUACGCAAUAUCUACUGGGGGAUUGAUAUUAAAAGCUAUAUGAAUCGUUCUCCACAGUAACUUGGCAAGUGGGCAUUCAAGAAAUAAAUGUUGUAUUGUUUCAUCCUGAGCACAAAAACAACACCGCGAAUUGCCUACCCUCGUCGCCUCUUAAGUAGGUUAUCCUUAAAGUCUGAAUUUUUUUAGUUUUAAAAAACUUUUAUUUUUGUGAUAAACUUGACAAAUGUUUUAAUACUUGCAAAGCUUCAUCAUGAAAUGUCACUCGUGUAAGUCAAUAAAACAAAAAAUCAACACUCUAAAAUGCUUUUGAAAAUAACUUUUUUGCAGUAUUGAUUUUUUUCCACGCUCCACGACUUCCACAAAUGUUAUUUCAUGAUGAAAAUUUGCAAGUACUUAGAACAAAUUGUCAAUGUUUGACCCCGAAAAAUCAGUUUUUUUGCAUUUUAAUGUUCACCUGAGGUCAUUUGAGCUCGAGCUAAGAACAUUACAUCCACAAGACUCAAGGUUAGCUUGAAAAUUUAUUGUCUCUCUGUGCAUGUGUGUGUGGGGGGGGGGGGUAUGUGUUGAUCAAGUCGGUGGUAUAAAGCUUAUCCCAGUUUAUUCAAUGUCCUAUUUUGAACUCCCUCUUGGCCUUUGUGAGUAUAUUAACACUCUUAUUAGGAAAUACUAGUGGUGAAGCAAAGGAGGUGAACAUAAAGUGGCUUGGGUUAGGUUUCUGUGAUUUUGAGUUGUUUAACCUUGCACUUCUAGCAAGGCAAUCAUGGAGAUUAUUAGAAGAACCUAGCUCUUUGAGUGCAAGAAUACUGAAGGCAAUUUACUAUCCAUAUAGCUCAAUCCUUGAUAUGAAUCUUGGCUCUCUCAUCCAUCAUAAAUCUGGAGAUCAAUCAUUAAAGUGCGUGAUAUUCUAGCUCAAGGCCUUAUAAGAAGAAUAGGUGACGGAGCCUCCACUGAAAUAUUGUGUCAUAACUGGCUUCCUCGACAAGGGAUGAUGAGGCCAAUUACUACACGUACAAAGGCAACCAUUAGCAUCGUAUGUGACCUCAUAGAUGAGAUGUAUAAAUGCAAUCAUUAAGGUGUUUUUACAAAGACUUGCCCAGCGGUGAUUCCAUGUUAUUAUCUUCUUCACCAUCGAAAUAUGUCUAGCACUUGCUCGUUAUGUGGUUGUCAAUACUCACGGCAACAUUCCUUGAUUGAUUGCUUGGUGUCGCCUCUUCCUAAUGAAGAAGUUCCUGGGUAUAUGAUGUCUAUUACGCAACUUUAUUCUUGUAGACUCGUGUUGGGCCUCCAAGCGCAGAGUUUAGUAGAACAAUAGCAAUUUUCCCUCAAGUGGAUGACCUAAGGUUUAUCAAUCCGUGGGAGGCGUAGGAUGAAGAUGGUCUCUAUCAAAUAACCUUGCAACCAAAUAACAAGGAGUCUCUUUUGUCCCCAACACACCAAAUACAAUGGUAAUUUGGAUAGGUGCACUAGUUCGGCGAAGAGAUGGUGAUACUAGUGUAGUAAUUAAUGAUAGUAGAUAUUGAUUUUGGUAAUAGGAACAAUAAAAAACAGCAAGGUAGCAAUUGAUAAAAUGGAGUACAAACGGUAUUCCAAUGCUUGAAAAUGAGGCCUAGGGUCUGUACUUUUGCUAAUGCAAUCACUCAACGUGCAACGAAGAAUCACUCCAAAGUUCCUAUCUAGCAGAGAACAUAAGAAGAAAUUGUUUGGAGGGUACGAAACCAUCUCAAAGCUAUUCUUUCCGAUCAAUCUAUCCUAGAGUUCGUACUAAAAUAACACAAAACUAUUCUUUCCGAUCAAUCUAACCAAGAGUUCGUACUAAAAUAACGCCGUAUGAUACACAUCAACCAACUCUAAUGUCACCUAGAUACUACAAUGUCACAUGCGAUAUGCAUCAAACAAUUUCAGAUUCAUAAUACUCAAUCCAACACAAAGAACUUCAAAGAGUGCCCAAGAUUUCUACCGGAGAAACAAAGACGAGAACAUGCAUCAACCCCUAUGCAUAGAUUAACCCAAUAUCACCUCGGGAAUCCGGGAAUUGAGUGCCAAAACACAUACCAAGUGAAUCAAUAUGAUACCCCAUUGUCACCACAGGUAUUCAUAUGCAAGACAUAUAUCAAGUGCUCUCAAAUUCAUAAAAGUAUUCAAUCCGAUAACAAGGAAAUCUCAAAGGGAAAACUCAAUUCAUCACAACAAGAUAGAUAAGAGAAAACACCAUAUGAUCCGACUAUAUUAACAAACCCCGUGAUACAUAAAGAUUGUGACAUCUCAAGAACACGAGAGAGAGAGAGAGAGAUAAAACACAUAGCUACUUGUACAAACCCUCAACCCCGUGGGUGGACUACUCCCUCCUCAUCAUGGUGGCCGCUGGGAUGAUGAAGAUGACCACCGGUGAUGAUUUCCCCCUCUGGCAGAGUGCCGAAACGGGGUCUAUAUUGGUUUUUCGUGGCUACAGAGACUUGCGGCGGUGGAAAUUCUGAUCUAGGGUCUUCCCGAGGGUUUUUGGAAUUUUUGAUAAUUUAUAGGGCGAAGAGGGGGUACGGGAGGCCACCGAGGUGGGCACAACCCACCGGGGAGCGCCUAGGGGCCCAGGCGCGCCCUGGCGGGUUGUGCCCCUCUAGGGGCACCCCCGAGGUGUUGCUCUGGCCAUAUGGAUGUCUUCUAGUCCAUAAAAUCCACAAGAAGUUUCACGGUGUUUGGACUCCGUUUGAUAUUGAUUUCCUGCGAUGUAAAAAACAAGCAAAAAACAACAACUGGCACUGGGCACUGGGUCAAUAUGUUAGUCCCAAAAAAUGAUAUAAAGUUUCUAUAAAAUCAUUGUGAAACAUCCAAGAAUGAUAACAUAACAACAUGAAUACUUCAUAAAUUAUAGAUACGUUGGAGACGUAUCAACAUCCCCAAGCUUAAUUCCUACUCGUCCUCGAGUAGGUAAAUGAUAAAAGAAAUGAUUUAUGAAGUGCUAGCAAAGUGCACAAGUUUGAGCAAUGUCAAUUUAAAUCACUUUUCCCAGCAUCAUAACAGCAAUUAUUUCUCAUAAAACUUCUCAUGUUAAAGUAGCAAUCAAUUCACAUGUUAAGGUUCAAACAUUGAAUUCUCUUGAAACUGAACAACCUAUAUUCUUAGUCACCAAACAAUUGUAAUUCAACUUAUUCAACAGAGUCUAAGUAAGAGCUCCACAUACUCAACCAUCAUAUAGACUUCUGUGAUUGCUAACACUCACCGCAUACGCAUGAGCAAAAUGUCUCAACUGGACACAUAGAAAGAUAGGGGCUUAUAAUUUCGCAUCCCAACGUAUUCACCUCAAGGGUGAUGUCAAUCAUAAUAACUCAUGCUACCUAUAUCCAACUGGAUAUAUGUGCGUAGAUCUUUCCACACCACAUGAUGCUUGCCAAAAGAGAAAAUAAAAAGGAAUAGAGAGAAGAACUUUGACUCUUGCACUAAAGUAAAUACAUAAAAGUAAAAGAUGGGCCCUUCGUGAGGGAAGUAGAGGUUGCCAUGCGCUUUUUGUUUGUAUGCUAAAUCCCUUAGUGCAAGAGAACAUCAUGUUAUAUUGCCUCUUAUGAUGGAAAUCUUUAUUAUGCAGUCUGUCGCUUUUAUUCUUUGCCAUCACAAGUUCGUAUAACGCUCAAUUUUCUCUUACACUAAAUGAUCUAACACUUUUAGAAGCAAUUUUUAUUACCUUAUUGAUGACAACUUACUUGAAGGAUCUUACUCAAUCCAUAGGUACACUACAAAAAAAUACACUUCCGUGAUGAUACAUGUUUGUCACAGUAGGUCGCAUUUUUUGUCAUGCAUGUACAUCCAUGAUGAUUUUAUGACAGAAUCAAGAUAGUCAUACCUGUGCUGACGUAAAAGUGUUCCAUGACAUUACCAAAAUUAUCAUCACGGAAGUGUCCACUUCCAUGACGAUAAAUCGUGCGUCACAGAAGUCUUUCGUCAAGGGUGACCGAUACAUGGCAUCCAACGUAACGGAACACCGUUAAGCUAUCGGGUCGGAUUUUGGAUCCGAUAACCCAUUAAUAGCCCAGACCAAUGGGAAAUUUCCACGUGUAAAAUUCUGAUUGGCCGAAGGGAACACCUGUCAGCUCAUCAGUGGGCCAGAUGUCGCCCGUCCAUUGGAGGAGACAUGCCUAUGAUACGUCGACACGUGACUGGGCCCAACAGAGGCCCAUAUAGGUUAAAAAGGCUGGCCCAGUCAAAGGCCCGUAGUACUUAAUCAGGUACUAGUGGGCCAGCCUAAUAACGUCCUGCUUAAUAAAGGCCCAUUUACGGCCUGAAGCUAGAUCUGGCCCGUUAAUUGUUCGCCCAAUAUUUGGGCCAUUUACGGCCCGAAGCCAGAUCUGGCCCGUUAAUUGUUCGCCCAAUAUUUGGGCCCAUUUGUGGCCUGAAGCCAGAUCUGGCUCGUUAAUUGUUCGCCGAAUAUUUGGGCCCAACUACAACCCAGUGACUUUUGGCCUGUUAGAGGCCUGAUGUAGACAUGGGCCCAUUUCAGCCCGGUGUGACUUUCGGCCUGGGAAUGGCCCGUGCUGCCCAUGGGCCAUAUAUGGUCCGACGGGACAUCGGGCCCACUAAUGGCCCAUGCUAAAGGUGGCAACAGUUAAGCCCAACGUGACUUUGGGCCUGUUAAAGGCCCGUCGCAUAAUUCGGCCCGUUGAUGCCUGUACUAAGCUUUCGGCCUCUUAAAGGCCCAUGAUAUCAGUGGGCCAACUAAGGCCCGAGAUAUGUUUCGGCCUGGUAAUGGCCCGUGAGCUAAUUGGGCCCAAAAAGGCCCGGUCUACAUUUCGGCCUGCUAAAGGCCCGUCGACGACUAGUGAAAAUUGAGGCCCAACAUGCAUUUUGGCCUGGUAAAGGCCCGUGGUUUCAUCCCGGCCGUAAUAGGCCAGUACAAUAUUCAGCCUGUUAAUGGCCCAACGCUACCUGGGCCAAACUAAGCGCUGGGUCGACAAAAGGCCCAACUAAAAUAUAGGCCGGUGUAAGUUUGGGCCUGGCGCAAUGUGUGAAGACCCCAAUCAUUCGGGCCCAAGAAAGACACAGGCUGGCCCAAUUGUGGCCCGCUAAAAACUAGGCCCGUUAGAGUCGAAUGUUUCGGCCCGGUCGACUACAUCUAUUUUUUUCCAGAUAGCGAAUGAUGGCAAUAACUAGUAGGAAUUAAGAACAAACCUACUCUAUACAAUAAAGAAAUUACGACAUAGUAACUAAGAAUAAACCUACACUAUACAAUAAAGGAUUUAAGGUAUAUUACAUCCACUGGGCAUUGAAGUUCGCCACCAGUGAUCAUAAAGCGCAACGAAGAAGCAGAUUACAAAAACUGGGCACCAUUGCAGCGUAACAAAAUAAUACUGAACCGAGACCACUUCCAAGAUAGUUCAAGAAAGGUUAGCCUUGCGGGGGAACUGCUGCGCAAGCUGCUGAGCAAGGCUGUGAGACCGGCCUAGCAUGUUGGUCAUAGCUUCCAGGUGUAGCUGUUUAGCGAUGAGGUUCUCAUUCGUGUUCUCCGCAAUCUUUCUUAGAGAUAGGACUUUAGGUCGAAGUUGAGUUGCAGAAUGACUUUCUGCUAGAACUUGGGACUGAAGAAGUCGAACUGAUUCAGACAACGAAUUCUGUGAGCUUGUCUGACUGUUAGUCUCAAGUAACUUGAACAUUGCAUCAAGACAAGACUUUGGGGUUGUCUCGCUAUCUUCAAGAUGUUUUGCCUUCUUUGCUGCAAUAUAUGUUGGGUUUGUCUCACAACCUUCAGCAGACUUGUGCAUGCCAUCAGGCAUAUCACCCUGAAACAAAGCAGAGAGAUGAAAGGUUUUGCACGUGUAUAAACAAAGAUGAUAACUGUGUUGUCAAUUCCAUCCAAUUUCAAAUUAGAAAAUAAAGAGUAAGUUCAAAAUAUCAAUAGCAUAAUUUGGCAUUGUUCAUAAUGCGGGGAGCUUCACCACACUACUGGAUUACCAUAUCAACAUAACAAGCAUAGAUGAAGGGCAAAGAAAAUCAUUGUAUCUAUUUUGGAUAAUGUGCAUGGCAUGUUGUUCAUAUCAUCAACCACAUUAGUAUGAUAAAAUAGGAGAUGACAAGGUGCAAAAGUGGGCUGCUUCACCACACACUGGAUUAUAGAUCCACAAAAACAAGCAUACAUAUAGGGAGUAUUAAGUAAUGUGCAUGGCAUGAAUAAGGAAUUUGGUUUUACAAGUAAAACUUAGAACUUACGGUUCUUGCGAACAUGCAUUUUGGUAGAAACAGCAAACUAAACAGCAGUUAACGUUAGGGAGUAUGAGAAAAUUAAACAACAGUUGAGGAUAAAGGCUUUAGAAGGACUGACUUACAUUAACAGUUAACACCGGCUUUAUAAUGCCCUUCUCCAUGUCAAGGGAAGGAUAACUCAAGAAUUUCAGCACAUAAUCUUCUUCAUAAGCAUUGCCUGUACUCUACAUUUUGUAGAGAGUAAUUAUAGAUAUGAUAAUACUGGAAGGGAUAGAGGAUAAUGAAGAUAAGAUGUAGAUUGAUGCUACAUAAUCAACUACCAAUCCCUGGAAGUACAAGCGUUAUAGGACAAAAUGUACUGACAAGAGCAAUGGGCUACACUUCUGCACUGGCAUUGUCUGUGUAUUCUACUUGUUGGUAAGAUUAAAUAUAGAUCUAACUUUUUUAGUAAAUGGUGGGCGAGGGAGAUAAGAUGCAGAAUGCUACAAAAAUGAACCAAUCCCUCUUCCCAUAAUACAAGAGUGUUUUGAACACUGGUGUACUGUACAAAAUGUUCUUAUAUUAUGGGACGGAGGGAGUAGCUGUUAAUGUAAGUAUAGUGAUAGACCACGUUCAGUCCUUACAAGAGGACUGCAGAGCUAAACCUCUUCAAAAGCAUUGGGUUGAUUCUAAAUUUAUGUAAGAGUCCAUACGGAUCUUAUAAUGUCCACCAAAUGGACGAUUACGAGGCUAACAUGUGCAGUGAUGCUACAUAAUCAAACAACUAUGAAAGUAAGUAUGCUCAUACACGGCGAUAGGUACUCACAAGAGCAAUGCAGUGUGCAGUAUAGUUGCGAGAUUUUGUGGUCCCUUGAGAACGAAUGUUCUUCUGCUAACAGUUUUCGUACAAGUGAGACAUUAAGGCAAAUGCAGAAAUGUAGUUCAAAUUGUGAUGUGAUAUCAUAGACAAUACCUUAUGCUGCAGCCGAGACCAAUAUGUAACAAGAUUAUUCCAGGCACCGUCGGAUAAAUGUAGCACCGGAGACUUUACAGAAAUUUCGUUCAGAGGCUUGCCAUCGAAGUGCGGUUGCCUCAAGUAGGAACGAUACUUCAUCAACGAGUGCUUGAAAAGCGCAACCAACCCUUGCUCAUCAUCACAAUCCAGUUUUCUCCUCGCCUAUUUAAAAGAAUGAAAUCUUGUAUCUUCUGUCAGCAGAAACAUAUGCAGUAAUGACCGUGAAUAACAUUAGUACAUUACUUACGCGUAAGUUGCGGAGAAAGACUGGAAAUUGUUCUGUGUCUGCGGUAUAAUCUUUCCAUGAAGGAAAGAUGCACACAAAGUUCCUGGCAACAACAUAAGCUUCAUCUUAUAAACUGGGAAGAAAUGGAACAUGGGUCCUAUUUGCUGCAAUUGGGGUUCUCUCUGGUUCGAAAAGGGAUUUGGCAACUGGAUUUGGUGUACUCUUUGCUGGAAUGGGGGUUUUGCAUCGUACAACUGGUGCUAUGUCAACUGGCAUAAUCAUACUGUUUGCUGCAGUUGGGGUCUGCUGAGUUGGGGCAUCAGAAAUGACCAGUGUAGUAGGGCUAGAGUCUGAUAGAGUUGGGGUGUUUUGUGGGUCAGGUGAUAUUGCAACUACACCUAAUGGGCUAUUUGAUUUAUCAGGUUCCACUACCUUUUCCAAAUACUUUGCUUGUGCUCCUCCACGAUCAGCAAUCACACUCUUCCUUUUGAACGUCUGAUACACAAGAACAACAUUUGAAUGGAUAAAUAUGGUAUGAUGACAGAUGGAAUAUUUACUAAAAAUGGAUAGGCAGGGCGUAUUCACAUACAUGAUGUGUAAACUAAGCUAACGGAAGUUCAACAAAGUAGAAGCAAUGCAAAGCAUUAGUUGCAAGAUAUGUGUGAGCAAUGUAACCUUAGAAAGUUAGAGCAAGUACCUUGAUGGGUGAAUAAGAUAGGGCAUCUUCCUCUGACUCCUCCACUAGGGAGCUACAUUGACUUAGGUCUCCCUCUAGCUCAGAAUCAUUGUUAGGAUCAUAUUCUGAGCAUGAAUCUGUAGGUGGAGAGCGUUUCCAUUGCAUUGCAUCUAGACUUGAUUUCAGUCCCUUAAUGCCAAGUUUGACAGCCAUGGCAUUGUUCUGCUUUAUUCUUUUCAUGCGCGCAAGCUCAUAAUCAUUAUGAUGCUGUUUAGAAUCAGACAUUCAUGAAAACAUAAAAAGUAGUCAGAUUAUCUAUGGAAUGCAUUGCGGAUUCAACUCGAAGAGUGUCUCCCUAUAAACCCCUACAUAUGCAAAGUUCACCCCCAAUCAUGCUGACCAGACCACACACAGAAAUACAAACCCCUUAUGUCUCUAUACCAGGCAGGCACACAUUUCAAAACUGAAGUAGGAACAUUAGAAUCAUAUGAAAUUCGUAUUUGAACAAAUAAACUAAGAAAUUAUGAGUGGCAUAAUGUUUAGCUUCAAGGGUGGAGUGUUGGUAGUGCGACACAAAGCAAGUAGGCAGAUUUUAUUCCAUGUAAAAGAUUGAAACCUAUGUAAAAGCUGGAAAUGGCACUUUCUUUCUAUACAAUGCAGUGUUCGUUGCCCACACAUCAUGGAAGAUAUCACAUAGAGAAAUACUAUUCACUCAUGUCUACGGUUUCAGUAUUUAGAAACAGGGUGGUCCACCCUAAAAGAAUAUUGACAACAAAUAUUACAAGGCAAGCAUAGAUGUAGUGAAUCAAUCAUUUACUUGUAGCUUACUAGGACAAGUAUGCAGAAUUGUAACUGCAGUAAGAGACCGUCCAAAAUAUGAAUGAAGAAGUUUGUCUAACACUUAUUGUUUGCAACUAAUCGACGUGAAUAAUUGGAUAUUAUAUCGAAUGAGUAAGAAAGACAAGUAAAAUUGUCAACAAACCUGGCUUGCAGUAGUAAUUUGGGUCAAUGUCACUACGACCAACAAUCCAAAAUGACUAGUGUCUGUUAUGAGGGCCGGAAUUUUGAAAACCCUAUGAACUUUAGAGGUACUAAAGAUUACCGAAAUACAUCUGAACCAUUAAGUGUAGGUAGCACUGAGCAGACAACAAACCCUAAUGACAGUCCUGCCUAAUGAGUAAUGAAUCAAUUAGAAAAUGGGUGAUGAGGAGUGGCUGCUGAGUGUUGAGGACGUAUCUCAGGAUAAAUCGGGUUGGCUUGGUGGGUGCUGCAUGCCUGACCCCUGAACGGACUGGGAAGGUAGGCACGGCGGCGCGCCCGGGCAGCGGUGAUGCUGUUGGGCGAGCGGCUCCUGGCCUCCUGUUAGUCCGGCGUCUCCUCCUAGAGUCAUGCCGUCCGGGGACAGAAAUUCGUCGGUGAGGCAGGCGGCUGGGGGCGAGUAGAGAUCGGAAGUGUGCAGCAGAACAGAGGGGAAUCAGGGCCUGGGACGACCCAAAAUCCCAGGGUGGGCCGGCCCACCGUGGGCACCCUAUAGAGAUACACACCCGAGCGGCGAACAUGCAUUUUCGAAACUAAUUUACGAACAUUUAGCUGACCAAUUAAACAACUCUGUUUUAAUAAUAUCAGAUUCGUAUUUGAACAACUAAGCUUGUGUAGCUUGAUGGGUGGAGCAGUGUUAUUAUGACACGAAGCACGUAUUCUGAUUGUGUAGUGAUCAUAAAAGGGGGAAACUCUAAGCAUAUUUUUUUUAGAAAAAGAGGGUUUCCCCUCUGAUUUCUAUUAAAGAAACCACCACGGAACCAACAUGAUCAAUUAAACCCUAAGCAUGAUAAAUUAAACCGUAUUAUGGCUGUGCCAUGGCAGAUUUGAAGCUGCAAACCGGAGAAAUGAUAUUUAGCAUGCAUUGUUUGCUUCGAACUAAGAACUAAAUUCUAAGAGCUGAAAAGAAAGUAGAGUAACCAAGUUAAGAUCUAUUUUCUGGUUGAGAUCAAAAAGUUGAGGAGAUAUGAAGUACCACCUCUCUUGCGGCGCCGUGUAGGCAUCAGGGGUGCGAUGGCUGUCAGUGGUGUUGAAGCAGAUCUGCGGCGGUAGAUGGGUGCAUCGGGGGAUAAGUCCCGUUGCGGUGGAAGAGAAGGUCGUGUGAGCGGCCCCGGCAAAGAGGACGAUGACGUCGAUGAAGCGAGAGGACGUGAUGCAAGGCUCUUGGUCCGUCGCCGUGGAUGAGAAACGUCCAUCUCUAGCAGUGGGCGACGCGGUCUUGGUAGGUGCUCCGGUAUGGUGGAGGACGGUGGCGAUGGAUGUGGUGGAGGACGGUGGCGGUGGAUGGGGUGGCGGAUGGAGGCUGGUGUGGGGAUGGGGUGUUUUAGCGCGGAUGGUGUAUGAAUGGGAAAAUGGAGGGAGAGGUACGGGGAACCAUGUUUUUGGUACGUGCCUGUCUGAAAUAUGGGAAAAUUACGAACUUAGCUCCCAUUUAAAAUUUGGACGUCUCGUCGGUUGGGGAUAGGACGGUAAUCUCGCAUCUUGCCGAUAUUUGCCUAGAGCGAUUUCGGGCGAGGAGAGGGUGGUUGGCGCCCAUGGUUGGCGCCCAUGGUGUAUGAACGGGGCUGACAGGUAGGGUGGUUGUGUCACGUCUGAGUGAAGUUACAAACCUGCCCCUAUUGAAAAUAUUUGUCUACAUCGAUUUCGACCGAGUUGAGUUUGUUUUGCCGCCCACUGUGUAUGAAUGGGGAAUGAAGGGAGAAACAGAGGUCUUUCAGACGAGCUUGAAUCAAAUGUGUUUUGCCGCCCAUGUUUGACGCCCACCAUGUCGGAAUGGGCUCAGAGGCGGUCGUGUCACGUCUAAUUGAAGUUACUAACCUACCCCUAUUUAGAGCAGUGGAAAUCAGGCUGAUGAAUUGUCCGUGUAAUGGGUAGAUAGUAAUUUCCAUCUCCCAAGCACUUCACUUCGGGCAGCCGACAUGGGAGUGGACAUUUUGCCGCUUCUUUCGAAUUUUGGGACAAUAAGCAUCCACGUUUGCCCUGGCAACUAAAUUCGAAUCCAUUUUGUAUUCCUAUAUGAAUCUUUAUAAAUCAUUCUAUGUGUUUUUAUAUAUCUUCAAAAGGACGACAAAGAUGUAUUCCACUGUCAUAUAUGAAUAUGGCUUACAAAUGCCGAUACUCAAAUUCAGAAGCUAGAAUCCAGUUUAAGGUGAAUUCAAAUAUUUGGAACACUUCAUGUCCAACUCAAAUGUCACACGCAGCAUAAUGUGUAUACCCAUUUAGAUAUGUACACAAGCGAUGUAUCAAGAUUCAAAUACCGAGUCAAUCAACCAAGAAUGUACAGAACUAACAGACAUAUAAACACUUAUAGAGUAUAUGGAUCAAUAAUAUCAACAAACAUACAUAAGCCAGGCCGCUGUACUUUUUUUUGCUACAACAACAUCCUUUUUUUAGCUAGCAUCUUGGCCCUUUCCGAUGCGUGCCACUUAUGGUCCAUGUAUACUUCUAUUAGUGCUGAAUGCACAUUCAGCCUGAUUGGCAUAUUUGUAGGUCUGCCACAGCAAUCCAAAUGAAAUGUCUCAGAAUCUUAUCAAUUAAUACAAACUUGUGCUCAAAUAAAAUUACAAACCAAAAAACAAAAAACAAAAAAAC
rnacentral:lncRNA from 1 species